AACGAAGGAGUUCUUGCGCUGAUUCAAUGUGUUUUGUAAUUGAUUCGAGACCAAUGUUCGACAAAUCAGAGGUUCGGUUUUAAUUGUGCUCUAGGGUUCUUUUAAUUCAAUUAGAUGUUUUCUUGUGUUGGAUCUUCAAUUUCUUUUGAUUAUUCUACAAUUACGUCUUUUCCAUCCAUUCUGUGUUCUGUAAACCCUAGUAUUUGGCGUUUAUUGAUUCUUAAUUUUGAUUUCAAGAGAAAGUAAUUCAUUUUGAUAUUUUCUUCUAUGUGGAGUUUGUUCGGUUUCUCUUGCGUUCUAGGGUUCUCUAAAUUCUUUUACAGUUUUUGUAUUUAUUGUUUAUAGUGAUUAUUGGGGCUUUUCUUUCUUUUGAUUAUCCUACACUUACAUAUUUUCUAUUCUACAGUUACAUAUUUUCUAUUCAUGUGUGUUCAGUAAACCCUAUUUUUUGGUGUAUAUUGAUGCUUAAAUUUUGUUAUCAAGAGACUACAAUUCAUUUCAAUUUUUUCUUCUCCGUGGAGUUAGUUUAAUUAUUAUCUGGUUGUAUUCUUUUACAUAUUUUUUAAUUUAAUUUUUGUAAUGAUUGUCUUAUUGGGUCUUUGAUUUCUUUUGAUUAUUCUACAAUUACAUCUUCUCUGUCCAUGUCUUGUUUUGUAAAUUGGUGUAUACUGAUGCUUAAAAGUUUGAUAUCAAGAGAAAGUAAUUCAUUUGAAUAUUUUCUUUUUUGUGGAGUUUGUCUUAUUACUAUCUGGUUGUAUCUUGGUUUUGAUUUGCUGGUUCAUUACAAGGGUUAUUUUAUUCAAUCCAUGUUGUGUUCUCUGAGUUUUUCCUUUUCUGUGGAGUACCGAAAAUUUUCAUAUAUUGGUUUUUAUUUGUGGGCUCCUUGGUUGGGUUGUUUCUAUUCUAUACAUGAUGUGCUACUUAAAUUCUUGUUUUGCUGAAUUGAUAAUUUUUGAUAUCCAAAAUAAAGCAAGUUAUUUGAAAUUUUUGAUCUACUGGUAAUUGUCCGUGCAUGGAGGCACGACGUAACAAAAAAUUAGAUUAAAAUUCGAAAAAUACUACAUUACCUAAAGAUUUUUUGCAACCUAAAAUAUUUUACAAUCACACAUAACAAUUAUCAAAAUUCAUCACACCAACACAAUAAUUAAUUUUCCUUUAAAAAUAGAUAUUCAAAAAAAUCUAAACUUGUAUACAAAACUUACAAAUCAUCAUUAUAAUUAUAUGUUGGAAUUUGAGCCUAAAUUAAUGUGGGUGCCAUUAAUUAUUUUUAAUGAUUCCAUAUAUUAAUGUGUUCUACUCCAUGAGUAGAUUAAAUUAAGUAUUUGGAAGCUCAAAUCCAUGGAGUAAUGAAUGAGAUAUUAAAUCCCAAAGAUCACACUUAGAAAUGAUAAAAGAUAAUAAAUACAUGUGAGAAAAACCAAGUCCCACAUAGGUUAGGAAUUAAAUUUUUAAUAUGUUUAUAUACAAGGAAAGUGCUCUUGGGUUUGGGCCCCAAGGGGCACCCCACUUUUGUGGAAGGGAGAUAACCUAGCCAAGGCUAGGAUCGAACCCACACGCACGCGCCGCCGCCGCCGACCAGCCUGGCUCUGGCACGGGACACGUGGGUCUGGGACCUGUAUAUAAUUUUUUAGACAAAAUUUAUUUAAAUUUUUUAAUUUAAAUUUAUUAAAAUUUUAUUUAUUUAAUUAUCGUUUUGAGAAUUAUCAAAACUAUGUCGUUUUGAGAUGCGGUAUUUGUUAUAUUAUCAAAACUGUGUCGUUUUGAGAAGCGGUAUCUGCUGAAAGGGUAUAAGUCUGAACAGGCGGCCCAAAAUUACGUCGUUUUUAUCGCGCCUUUUCUACCAAGUCUAAAACUACGUAGUUUUGGUUCUGCUAAUACUUAAACUACGUCGUUUUAAGGGUCCGAAUAGAUGCGCCUAUUUUGCAAAUUGUCAAAACUACGUCGUUUUGACCAAAAGAUACUAAUAAUACUUUUUCAGUGGCAUCACAUGCCUUUUCAAGGGCUAAGUGCCCAUCCGAAGGGGCACCAACCCCUCCUAUAAAUAGAUAGGAGAUGCCGCCUUCAUUUUCAUUCAAUUCACAAGCAAUUCAGUCAUUUAGUUAUUCUAGUCUUUAGUUUUCAAUCAGUUUCAUAGUUAUAGAAAGAGAGAGUUAGAGCAUUUAACUUUGGUUCGUAGAGUAUACUUUUUGUAGUGCUGCAAAAGUAUACAAUGUCAUUGUAUCCUGGAAGACAAGUGCUAUCAACUCCAAGCACCAUACGGAGGGCAGAAUUGUCUUAAGGACAUAGUACAUAUAUAUAUAUAUAAUUUCCUUUAAGGUUCCUAACAUUAUAAUUAUUAUUGUUCUUCUUCUUAUUAUUAUUAUUAUAAUUAUUACUAUAAUAAUAAUAAUAAUAAUUGUAGUUAUUAUUAUUAUUAUUACUAUUAUAAUUAUAAUUAUUAUUAUUAUUAUAUAAGUAUCAUUAUUGUUAGUAUUAUUGCUAUUUGAUUUGGAUGAGAAUUUUUAGGGGUGAAUUUGAUUUGGGCGGGAAUUUUUAGUGUUAGAUGAAAUGUGAGCUUUUAGAUUAAGUUGGAAGAAUUGAGAUGAAAUAUGAACCGUUCUUGUGCUUUGUCAAAUGAAAGAUUUAAAAUGGGUUCUGUUUUAUUAUAUAGAUGUGUGUGUCUGUGUGUUUAGAAUUAUGCUGCUUGCUGGGCCCUGAUGGUGGAAUUGGCGUUUUUUUUUUGGGCUGGGGGGNNNNNNNNNNNNNNNNNNNNNNNNNNNNNNNNNNNNNNNNNNNNNNNNNNNNNNNNNNNNNNNNNNNNNNNNNNNNNNNNNNNNNNNNNNNNNNNNNNNNCGGCCCAAACCUAGGCUGUGACGCUUCCUGUUGAGUAAACAAUUAAGACUUGAAGUUCGUUUACACAGAAAGAGGAAGACAAUUAUAAAGAAUAUUACUUUAAGCAAAUUAGAUUAGAUUCUUUAAUAUAGCAUCAACAUAACAAUAACAUUCUAAAGCGAUAUAGGCAUUUAUCCCUUCCAUCAACCGAGAAAGACACCUGCGUUACACUAACUAGGAGCGCGCUUCUUUAUUCAAAACACAAAUCAAUUAUGAAAUGAACCCACAUAUAAAAGUGGGAUGGUCUGCUCAUUAUUUGUGUUCGUACGUUUAUUAAUUCUUGCAAUACAAAUAAGACCUCCACUAUACUAGUGAUGGAGGGGAUUCGCGCCGGAUGGAACAAGGCGCUUCGAACCAUAGACUACUGUUGCUGGAAUGAAACGCAGCCUCGGAACAGAAUUAUGCUGCUUGCUGGGCCCUGAUGGUGGAACUGGCGUUUUUUUGGGGGGGGAAGAAAGCGGCCCCCUUUUGCGGCAGAGUGGGCAGCAUCGCUUUCCCUCGUGUAGCUAUGAUGCCAUUCAGAAACAACACAAAAGAAGAAGAAAAAGAAAAAGUAGUAUUUCGCGGAUUCUUGCCAUCACUGGAAAAAAAUUGGAGCUGUAGGCAUCAAGGGACCGAGAUUAUAUACCGCUGAACAUCAUUUGGAUGGGCCGAGGCUAUAUACGCUUAGGCCUUUUUUUUGAUGGCUGUAAUUUUCUGGGCUAUUUUGAUGGACUCAGAUCCUUUCAUGUAGGAGAUGGAUGGGCUCAAAUCCUUCCUUUUCAUGAUUUUAUGUGAGGAAAAAAGAGAGAAUUGGAGAUACUUUGUGAAAGACAAAACGUUUCACUUUCUUUUAUGAUCAAGUUAGUGUGUUUUUUCUACGCACGCUAGUAAAGCGCACUCACGUAAAACACACGAAUUGAACUAGCAAGAUUUAGGUUUUGGUAUUUCAGACGACGCAGACUCAAGGAAGAAGGAAGCUUCAGAACUGGAAAGGCAACAUAAGCACAUCUCCAAUACACUUAGCUUACACCUUAUUUCAACUUUCACAUGAAUUUUCAGCACAUUUUUACGGAAAAGUCUUUAUUAUUAUAUUAACAUAAGCAUUGAACACUUUAGACUAGGGUUUGGCCCAUACAUACAUGCAAACACAAAAAAGAAAACCAAACAAAGACACUUAGCAUAGAUAGGUCUUCCAGAACCAGUAAGCAUAGGAGUAGAUCUCCACCAAACAAAGACAAAGAAAGCCAUGCAUUAAAAUAUAGUACUUUGCAUCUAUAGACACUUAUUUAAACCUUCUAAAACUAAAAAGAGUCGACGGACUUUUCUAUUCUAGUCUUCCUGGUUACCGAGGGUGGUAGCCCGCACAAUGAGCUCUUGCUGUUCUUCGAGGAGGGUCCUCUUCCUGUUUUCGCAAUCGCGUAUUUGCUCCCGGAUCCCCUGCAUCAUUUGUCCUAAAAAAUGAGGAUCGAGAGCAGGCGGAUGCUCCCAGAAUAGCCCGAGCCUUUGCUCGCAGCGGAGCUUUUGAUUUUCUACCUGUUGUAUUUCUUGCGGAAUUGUAGCAAGUCUUCCGGCGAUAUCUAUAAGAGUGUUUUUGGAAUAAGUGUUACUGAAAGUCUUUCUUUCUGACUUUUACCUUUCUCUUUGAAAAUAGAGACUGAAAGAAGCGUCGUAUUUAUAAGCGCGGGGUCCAUGGUAGCAAAAAAAAAAUCCUUUCUUUUUCGCGGGUUUCGCCACGCGGCUUAAUCCCGAUCACUCUCUCAGGAAUAGGAGGCAAUAAUAGAACAUACAUCAGAGAAGAGAGUACUCCCUUUAUAAAUAAACAAGUCCCCCGCGUCCUUUCUUAAUAGAUGGAGCAAUUCUCACUCGACAGCUCGAAAGCGGAUCAAUACAAACCCACGUGAUAUGUAUUCGCUUACGUACCAGGAGUGCUUCGUCGUACCCUGACUACUCCUCUUUCACUGGCCCGAUUUGGUUUGGUGAAAAACUAAGGGGUCGUUUAGACAAGAAGAAUGGGCUUUAGAAGGCUUUUGGGCUUAUAAAUUGUGCCUUGCCCUUACGUUGCUCGUUGGGGGGCCUUGUUUAUUUAUAAAGGGAGUACUCUCUUCUCUGAUGUGCGUUCUAUUAUUGCCUCCUAUUCCUGAGGGAGUGAUCGGGAUUAAGCCGCGUGGCAAUACCCGCGAAAAAGAAAGGAUUUUUUUUUGCUGCCAUGGACUCCAGCGCCUAUAAAUAGGACGCUUCUUUCAGUCUCUAUUUUCAAAGAGAGGUAAAAGUCAGAAAGAAAGACUUUCAGUAACACUUAUUCCAAAAACACUCUUAUAGAUAUCGCCGGAAGACUUGCUACAAUUCCGCAAGAAAUACAACAGGUAGAAAAUCAAAAGCUCCGCUGCGAGCAAAGGCUUGGGCUAUUCUGGGAGCAUCCGCCUGCUCUCGAUCCUCAUUUUUUAGGACAAAUGAUGCAGGGGAUCCGGGAGCAAAUACGCGAUUGCGAAAAUAGGAAGAGGACCCUCCUCGAAGAACAGCAAGAGCUCAUUGUGCGGGCCGCCACCCUCGGUAACCAGGAAGACUAGAAUAGAAAAGUCCGUCGACUCUUUUUAGUUUUAGAAGGUUUAAAUAAGUGUCUGUAGAUGCAAAGUACUGUAUUUUAAUGCAUGGCUUUCUUUGUCUUUGUUUGGUGGAGAUCUACUCCUAUGCUUAUUGGUUCUGGAAGACCUAUCUAUGCUAAGUGUCUUUGUUUGGUUUUCUUUUUUGUGUUUGCAUGUAUGUAUGGGCCAAACCCUAGUCGUGUUCAAUGCUUAUGUUAAUAUAAUAAUAAAGACUUUUCCGUAAAAAUGUGCUGAAAAUUCAUGUGAAAGUUGAAAUAAGGUGUAAGCUAAGUGUACUGGAAAUGUGCUUAUGUUGCCUUUCCAGCUCUGAAGCCUUCUUCCUUGAGUCUGCGCCGUCUGAAAUAUCAAACCCUAACCUAAAUCUUGCUAGUUCAGUUUGUGUGUUUUACAUGAACGCGCUUCACUAGCGUGCGUAGAAAAAAACACACUAACUUGAUCAUAAAAGAAAGUGAAACAUUUUCUCUUUCACAAAGUAUAUUCAAUUCUCUCUUUUUCCUCACAUAAAAUCAUGAAAACAAAGGAUCCGAGCCCAUCCAUCUCCUAAAUGAAAGGAUCUGAGUCCAUCAAAAUAGCCCAAAAAAUUACAUCCAUAAAAAAAGGCCUAAGCCUAUAUAGCCUGGGCCCAUCCAAAUGAUGUUCAGCGGUCUAAACCCAAGUAAUUGUGGCCCAUGAUCCAAUGGACCCGCAACCAGUCAAUCAUGCUAUCCUUACCUUCCAAACCAAUCGGAAAAUCACACUAUCCUUCACUUUCAACUCGAUUCCGCUUCUGCAACAGUAUAUAAUCUCGGUCCCUUGAUGCCUACGGCUCCAUUUUUUCCAGUGAUGGCAAGAAUCCGUGAAAUACUGCUUUUUCUUUUUCUUCUUCUUGUGUUGUUUCUGAAUGGCAUCAUAGCUACACGAGGGAAAGCGAUGCUGCCCACUCUGCCGCAAAAGGGGGCCGCUUUCUUCCCCCCCCAAAAAAACGCCAGUUCCACCAUCAGGGCCCAGCAAGCAGCAUAAUUCUGUUCCGAGGCUGCGUUUCAUUCCAGCAACAGUAGUCUAUGGUUCGAAGCGCCUUGUUCCAUCCGGCGCGAAUCCCCUCCAUCACUAGUAUAGUGGAGGUCUUAUUUGUAUUGCAAGAAUUAAUAAACGUACGAACACAAAUAAUGAGCAGACCAUCCCACUUUUAUAUGUGGGUUCAUUUCAUAAUUGAUUUGUGUUUUUGAAUAAAGAAGCGCGCUCCUAGUUAGUGUGUAACGCAGGUGUCUUUCUCGGUUGAUGGAAGGAAUAAAUGCCUAUAUCGCUUUAGAAUGUUAUUGUUAUGUUGAUGCUAUAUUAAAAAAUCUAAUCUAAUUUGCUUAAAGAAAUAUUCUUUAUAAUUGUCUUCCUCUUUCUAUGUAAACGAACUUCAUGUCUUAAUUGUUUACUCAACAGGAAGCGUCACAACCUAGGUUUGGGCCGCCUCCGAUGUCAAUCUGCAGUAAUAGUUUUCGGAAGCAGCCUAUCUAGUUUUCCGAGGUGGGUUCUAUUCACCAAUAGCUAUUUCCCUGCUUCUUCUCUGGGCUAUGGUUUACCUCUAUCAUGCAAAUGCCCAACACUUUUUUGCUUUCUAAGAUCAUCCUGUAUGAAAGAUGUAUGAUUGGAUAAUGAAAGACUUGCAUGGUAUGCAGUUUGAACGUCCAUAGAGUACAAAAGGUAAGACUUAAUAAGAGAAAUGAGCUUAGCACAACACGAUAUGGGUUAGAAAGCAAAUCCUAAAAGGAAAAACCCAUCACUAAACAAAAUAGAAGAAAUGGGUUUAGGCCAAGUGACAGAACUCUCUAUGAGUUGGGCAACAUAAAAGAUUCUAUUCUAAAAUGGAUGUAGGCUUAACUAAAGCCCAAUGCUGGUUUAACUCUAUGGAAUCUAAGCCUCCCUCUUAGAGCGUUACAAGGAAUUUUGGGCCUAAUGCAAGGCCCCGUCUAGAUUUAACUUAGGGAUUUAUGAGAGAUUGAUUGAUGGACCUAAGCUAAACUUAGAAGAUUGAACCUAAACCAAAGCCUAUAGACUGAAUUAGGAGAGCAGAGGUUUAAUCAAUAUCGAAGCCAUAUCGAAGCCCAAUGCCAAGCAAAGCCCUAAACUACAAUAAAGAAUAUGGGAAAAAAGCCCUUAACCCAACAUAAGGUGGAGCCCCUAUUAGACCCUAUUAGAAUAGAAUAGUGGCUUAGUCAGCCCAACAUAGGUUGUCAACAAAAAAAGGGGGAAGUUCUCGUGAUUUAAGGUUUCUGGAUAUCCUACCCUAAGACGAGAGGAUUGCGCUUAGAACACAGACCCAUUGGUGGAUAAGAUCACAUCUUCAUGAUAAAAGGUACACGUUAGGUCUCACUCAAGGUAAUGGGCCAAACCUAACGAGUCCAAAAAAAUUUGAUCUUAUUGUCUGACAAAAUCCACAAAUUGGGCUUAAUUCAAAGCACUCUCCUAUUCUAUCUAAAGGUCCAUCAUAGGGCCAAGAAACACAUCCGAUAAGUCAAUUUUCCAGAAAGUAAACCUGGCCUUUUUCUUGCCUUUCGCAUUGCUUUUUCUUGAGGUGUGGGCCCAUUUAGAGGAUAAUCGUAUCGGCCCUUCCAGAAGCCCGUCGAGCAGUCGAAGUAGUGGAUUCUGUUCAAUCGGCUGAGAGGUUGCCUUUUCCUCUAUCUAAUGUCUCUUUUUUCGUAAAGUCCUAAUGUGUUUCUUGGCUUUCGUUACUCUCUUUUGAGUCUUGCGAGUGGUCCAUUCCUUCCUUAAAGUCUUCUGUGAGGGAUCAAUCUUGGGAAAAGACACUAUGGGAUAGUCCCAGACCAAGAAGAAGAAAACCUUGAGCAGACCGCUUUUCCGCAGUCAAAUUCCAUAUUUAAAAACAUUAUUGACAGCUUAAACGAUUGAUUGCCUUUUUUGUGUUUUUUCCCGAGUGAAGUGACUCACACUAAGUCCCUCCACGACCCCUUACUUAGUAAGAUUAAUCUCCUUCCCUUUUUGAGAGAAUCAUUGUAAAGGCUGAAGAUCGAGUUCAUACUUUUGGGCUUGUGUAAGGAUUUCCCUAUUGGUUAGUCGGAGAAGGGGCAAUUUACUUCCUCCCUUCAUUCUUCUGGGAGGAAAAAGACUUUCACGCUUUAUGGUCUGAAUUCAACGGAUCACAAAUUAUCUAUUUCUGAGCUUCAAGCCUUGCAAGCUUUCGAAGUCUUGCAUUCAUUUCUGUCUCAUUUUCAGGUUAAGUGUGCCGGCCCCUAUAGGAACCCCCUGAUCUGAUGGGGGGAAUUCCUAUGAAAGAGGCAAGUCUUUCGUGAGUGAAUGGUUUCAUCCAAUUCACGAGUUAAUCCUAUCAGCCGCUCAGCCUAAUACUUCCAGGACUGAGUUUCCUUUCUUCCUUCCUCAAGUCAUGUGUAAUAGCCGGAGAGUAGAAUUCGUAUAUGUCUAUUUGCAGUCCGUAUAUAGGUAUGUCCAGCGGUCCAACCAAUGUAGGCUACUCUUUUUCUAUUAGUCCAUCUAGUCAGUCAGUUGAUAGUUUGAUCGAGGGCAUGAAGGCUAAGGUACCUUCCUAAAUUGAGAUUUCAAUCUCAAAAGUGUUUUCAAAGCCCUUUUUGGCUUGUCCCGUCUAGUGGGAGAAGUGGUCCAAAGCGAGAGUCUUUCGGGUCUAUACCCAUAGCAUAGUCGUUGCCCUUCUUUUGGUACAGUGUAAGAGUCCCGGGCAAAAUUCCUUUCUAUCUAUCAGCUCGUACUCUCAUUCCUCUCUUAGUCAGUCUUUUAUUUGAUUAUGUCUUCUCUUUGGUAAGCCCUUUCGUCUGUCGUUUCUUUCUAGGUUCAGCCCUUUCUAAUUCCCCUUCUUUCUAGGUUCAGCCCUUUCUAAUUCCCCGAGGGCUUUUCUUAAGUUAACUCCCGUAGUCAUCCUAUCUGUUCAUUCCGUCUAAUAAGUGUUGGAAUCUUUUGUAGCUUUCCCUUACGUAAGCAUUUUCUUCCGUCUUAGUUCUUAGCCAGCCCCGCCCCCACAAGGGUAGAAUUCCUCUCAAACCUUUCAUCCUGUCUUUCUGUCUUUGUAUUUUUUUCGUCUUUGCCAGGUCAACAAAAUGACAACAUCCCAAAAGCUUUUUUUAUGGCGGAUUUCCCUAUUAUUAUUUCUCCUUUUCUUCCAAGGGGGGCCUUUCGUCUAUUUAUGGAUGAACUUUCCCAAGCCAUUUCGCCAUUCUAUCCGUCCAUGUCGGGGGGAAUGGCUGCAGGUCACAACACCCCCCCGGACCAUUGGGGGAUUCUUCCCUUUUGCCUUUUUACGACCCCAACCAACUCCACAAUGAUGUUCAAGAGAUUCCCCAAGACGACCUCUGGACUGAGCUGGAGUAUCCCCUUCUAAAGAUCAAGAGAGGAAGGGGCAAAUAAGGGCCCGACUUAUGAUUUAUAUUUCUGACACCGACCUUCUUCGCUUUGAGGAAACGGUGGAAACCCAUUUCAAGGUGGAGAUAGAGGUGGAGAGACACCUCCGUAUGGAAGGGUAUUCCACUCAGAAAAACUCCUUACGGAGUAAUAGGGAAUUAACCCAUUUUCUAAAGGAGAUGUCGAAGGGUUGGUGCAACAGCAACUCUUGCCAAAUCCUAAAUAAACAAAAGAAGAAAUGUUCCUUUUUCCUCUAACCGAAGAAUGGAUCUGGUAUGUAUUGGUGGGGGUCGGGGGUGUAGUCUUGUUGUGCGCGGGGAUCGUCAAUAAGAACAAGGCCCGCCCCUGAAAUGGGGCGGGGAAGGAGAAGUGGGAAGUGGGUCUCCUUCGCUUUACUAUCUAUUUUUGAUGCACGAGGAAUUGUCUGAAAGUGAAAGACAUCAUUAGUACGGCCAAACGAAGAUUCCUGUGUGAUUGGGGAUAGGUAAGGCGCAGUGAAGAGAGAUCGAAUCCCGACUUUUUUUGACUUAAGAACGAAAUUAGUGCAGCUGCAAGGAGUCUUUUUUACUUCCUAACAUGGAUACCAAGUCUGGGUUAGAGAAUUAAUAGUAAGGCGAUGCGCUCUCCGAUGCAAUAGAUCAAUGGACUGGAAGAUUAACAUGUGAGGCGAGAGUGUCCGGUCUGUUUCAAGUCCUACCGUUCAAUACUGGACUUCUUCCGCUUCCUCUCUUUCUAUAUGGAUAUAAGGAAAGUAAGCUCUCCCCCUUCUCUCUUUAUGCUAGAGAGCUUCCUCUGUUUUCCUUACAUCAAGCGCAAAUUGGACGUUGAAGGCUAUAGAGAGGAGGGUAUGAUUCUUGCUCAAGUCUAAAGUUCAUUCUUGCUUUCAGUCAAGUCUGAGUGAAGUUCCUAUUGAGGAAUUAGUGCCAUUCUUUUAAAAAUGAAAAUCAGAUGUCCAAAUUGAUAGAUUCUUUCAUAGCAAAUUAAAUACCUCUAGCAGUUCCUUCUAUGGCAUCGAUUUUAGUUCUGUUUGCAUCCUAUUCUGGCUAUGUCCCUUAUACGAGACUAGUGCUAUAAGUUCCGUCCUUUCCUUCUCUAGCCUCUUCCCCAGCUUAGAAAUUCAGUUCUUCCUUCCCUUGGCUUACUGUCUUUCCUGAUGGUGAAUAGCCGCUCUUUGAUUUGAUAGAGGAAGUGACAUCUGAGGGGAAAUAAGUGAUUGCAUCGAAAAUGAGAAGGCAAAGGGACUAAAAAAGAGUGUCUCGAGAAGGGGCUUUGAGGGACGACUGAUUUACCAUACUUUCAUUCGACGUAGGAAGCAUCAAAUUCCAUUAGUGGGAUAACUUACGUCAUUCAAUACUCCCCCAAGCUAGUGCUCGUGAAUGCGCUCCUCAUUUAGCUCCGUGACUCGUAAAGGAUGGAAAAAUCCUGAUAGCCUCUGCCUGAACGCUCCGUUCUCGGUCAAGUUGCGUGAAGGGCCUCUAAUAAUGACGUAAAUAGAGCUCGUUUCGCUACUCGCGCUAAUCCAUAAUCUAAUGUUCUCGCUUGGGAUGGGAAACGAGGGAAUUUGGAUAGAAAGGAUGGGCUAGUUUCCUUCUCUCGCUACAUUUAUAUGUGGCUCCUCCCGCUGUGAUCGAGUGUCUUGACGCUCCUUUCGCGGUGUUAGAUGUCAGAGUGGCCUGAGGCUCAUCCCUCGAUGUGAAUUGACCAUUUGCCUUUGAUUCAUCAUCUUAGUAGUUUUGCCUUGAACCUUUCGAUGCAAACUGAGAUUCAGAAUCUGACCUUGCAACUAAGAGAGGGCUGAGGUAACGAGUGAAAUCUCUUGACUAAAAGAAGAGGAGAUGAAGAAGAAUUAGAUACGCCGGAAAGAGAGAUCAAGAUGUGGAACAAAUAAAAUCGCUUUACUCACGGCAUUACCAUUCCUCUUGGGGAACUAUACCCCACUCUUGAGCCAGGAUCAAACCCUCUUUUUCGAGGAAGAUUUAUAGCUCUUCGUCACCCUAGUUACAAGCCAACGGUAGAGCAAAUUCCUCAGCUUCCACAUAUGUCAAAGAAUGCAUUGAUUUCGCAUUUGUUGACCAGUGGAUCGGAGCUGAACUAUGUGUGCCCGAUUGACACACUGAAGUACCAAUAUCAGCUUAGGAAGAUUUAUACCUGCUGUGUGCCAUGACUCGAGGGCUAGGAUGUCUUGAAAUGAUCCCUUUUGGGACUUCAAAAUGGAUACAAAAAUCUCGUUUUUCAAAUUAGUUUAUUGCGUUGCGCUUUAGCUCAAAAAAGCUCACUAGAUAAAUGGAGGAAAUGGGGCGCAUUCGGUUCUACCUCUCGCGGUAACCCAUCGUCGUGGUCGAACGUGGAACAUCAAUGAACUUCUCAGAACGACCGCUAGGGGUCUUCUUCCAUAGUAGCUAUAUAUUGUGUAUAGAUAAUAGAAUAUAUACUCUAUAUAUGUAAUUUUUUGUAGCUGUGAUACCUGAAACUCAGGUUUUUCUUAAGACAGAAUGGCCACAGAACGCGUAUUCGAACUCGUGUACUAAUAAAAGGUUAGAAAGGGUGCUGGGUCUUGCCCUCAAUUAUGAGGAUCAACCAUGUUCUUUGUUGGGCGAGCACGCAAAGAGAGAUGCUCUUGACUUUUCUUAUCUUUGAGAGAAUUGGCCCUUUGACCCUCUUAUUCGCCUUCCAAUUGUGUAGAUAUUGAACCGUAUUUAGAAAGCAGAAAACAAAUGGAGAAUUCAUACGUUUAGAAAAGUUAGGAUGAAUUUCUUUAUUUUUCUUCUCUCUUUAUAGAAUUGUGAAGCUGGCGAAGAAGGUAGAUAGUUCGACCUUUUCGUCUAUUAUAUUAUGUCUAUUUGUCUUUCCGUGGAUGACGUGGAGCAGUAUCUGGAUGACCUCAUUGAGAAGUUUCCAGUUAUUUGGGAACCAUCUCAUCCAUUCCCCUUGAACAAUGUAUUAGAUGGGAUCCUACAUGGAAAUCCUUCCCUAGUGCGCAUUUUUUUUGUCAACAAGUUGUUUGGAAAGAAACUCCGUAGUGUCCUUCCUUGUGCUUUAUUUGAGUUGGUUGCGUACGGUUAUUUAUCUACUUUAACCUGGAUGAGUUCGAUAGACUUCACACAGGGAGUGCUUUGGCCUUUCAGAGUCCGUUACGCCUUUGAUGAGAAUAAGAGUCCUCUGACGUUAGAGGACAUGGCCGACUGUGUGCUGCCGUGGAAGGAGGCAAGCGGCACAUCUUUGCCAUUGGAAAUUCUGUUAACCAAAGGCUUCUGAGGCCAGUCCAUGUAUGGCUGAUGAAGGUCCUCAAAACUAUCCCGAUAGGUGGUAUACAUUCCAUCAGAAGCGUCCAUUGGUUAACCUGAUAGGUCAGAAUCACCUUUUUUGUUUUGAUUUGAAGUCGGAUACGAUAUUUCUAUCUUUUUACACUAUAUAUGAUAUUAUCGUAACUAUACUAAUAUAGACUAUAUAUAUACUAGACUACUUAUUUACUAGGAAAGAGGGCAGCAAUAGGGCAGCGGAAAGGCUCUCCUCUGAAUCAGAAUGUGCGAAAAAAGCUCUUUCAAAAGAACAAGCCUUGUUGUCGAGGCGCUUUACAACCCUAAAAGGUCGGUGCUCAAAUGGAUUAGAGCUUCUUUUUUUACAGAAGAUGGAACUCUUUCUAUAGUCUCUUCGUACGCUAGGCAAGCAGUUAAAGAAGUUGUUAGCCUGAGCUCCUCCGAUCCUUAUUCCCACCUUUGGCUGGGCUGGUUAAUAGGGAGUCCUUGUACCUGCAAUAGAAAGUGCAUUCCCCAUCAUAGCCAAAAAGCUCGAUGGGAUGCCAUACUACCCUACCAAGACGAGAGUGAUGAUCUCCCCAAAAGCAAAAAGAAGAAGAAGUCCAACCAACAAAUCCUGCAUUGAUCCCAUCGCUUCUUUCCUAGGAUGACUAUCCCCCUGUACCAACAUAUACCCCGGGACCCAUAACGGGUUCGCUGGAAGAAACUGUGGAAAACAUAGGAUGCUGCUUCAUACCUCCUCAAGAGACUCUACCGAUCUUUGAAGCUAAUGACUUCGAUCAGAUAUACCAGAAUCUGGAGGAGCAAGAUUGUGCUGAAAGCGAGAUAGUCAAGAAGGAAAUUGAUGAGUGGAUGAAUGAAGUUUACCCUAAUGUGGCUGACAAGCUACUUUAUGGGAACUUUAACCAGGACUUUCACGGGAUGGAUGCACGCACCUACGUUGAGAAGCACAGGGAUCAAGGGAAAUUUGACCCUGAUCAGCUCAUUACUUCCCCAGGAGCUAGGGUGCAAAUCAGAAUCAAGGAAGAAAGAAAUGAAGAGGAAGUAGAUUACAACUACCCUAGCUCUCUACUCCUCCCCGAGGAAGAAGAGUAGGUUCCGAAGAAGCAACAUCAACCGACCGGUCCGAGUUGACACAUAUGAUGAAGAAGUUAGAGCAUCUCAAAGGACAAAUGAAGAUGAUGGUGCAACUAAUGACAGCUAUGGUAUCCUCCAGGGGAAUAGAGAAUGUUCAAGCAUGUCAAAAAGAAGAGGGAAUUCGAUCCCCUCCCAAUUCUGCCAUCUCGUCUACUUCCAGAAUUGAUUGCAUCAAAACUGGUCACUCCCAUGCAUCCUAAAUCGGUGAAUCCUCAGGCUCCGAAAUUCCUUCUAGGUGCAAGAUGUGAAUAUCAUAUGGGAGGCAUAGGUUAUUGGACCUAUGAUUGCUACCAUUAUAGGCAUCAGAUCCAAAAUCUUCUGGACCAUCAGUUGUUGAGUUUCUAUUGGCGAGGGAGGAAUGCGUAUUAUGCUUUAAAGAAUCCAUGCCCUUAAUUGCAGGAUGAAUUAGAGAGUAGUAGUCUAUGCAAGAAGAGAAAGACGUCCCAGAUACAACCACCCAUCUCACUCAAAGAUAAGCUCGUUUGGCCUAAAGUGAAAGACGAGGAUUGCACAUAGAUUAACAUGAUAUGCCCUCUGAUCCGGCCUAAACACAGGAAUUGCCCUGAUCUACACAAUGUUAUCUCCUAGAUCGUUCAUAAUGCACCAAAUAGGCCUACGGUGGUUUUCUACCAAGGAUCGGCCCCUCGAUCCACCUACCUAGUACCAGUUCCAUCACAACCACAACCGCUGCCUCUUGUCAUCACCAUUCCAAGCGCAUCAUUGACCGCACCAAAGGUUCCGCAAACCCUAACACUCAGACCCAUCCCAAAAUCGAUUGUUAUCACCUAUCCACCCUCGAAGGGACCCAUCACUAUCAGCCUCCCUCAAUUGGAACCUUACACGGGAAAUCAUGCCGUGCCUUGGAAUUACGACAUCGAGGCUACCACCGAACAAGGGGAAAAGAUCGAACCUGAGGUACUUAUGAAUGCCUUCAAUUCGCUUAGGAAGCAGUCUCUUCUUUGUAAGUUGUCACCCAGUUCCCGACAUUGGUUCUUCGAUGAUGUCCCCUGGGCGAAAGGGGCCACCAUUCUAUUUCUUUCUUCAAUCGUUCUGAUCAGGACAAGUGGGUUGGUUUGUUUCCUCCUCCUAUCUACGCAAUUUUCUAUCUUUGUUCAUGAUCAUGUUGGGCGAAAGGUAGUUGUAGAGGAGCGGUUGUGGAACAGCGAUUCCCCCCUUUCCAUUGAAGUAGGGAGGGCCUCCUUCCCCACCAUUCCGACCUGUUAUUGAUAGGGAUUUUACUGAUGCUGAAGGUAGCUUGCUUACCAAGCCACCCACUUGUGACGCUAGUCGCUAGUAAGAAGCGCGAAGCUGUCUACGAAGCUUUGCUUCUCCCCCUGUAGUCGUAAUACUCAGCUCGUCACUACUUUGAUUCAAGAGGUAACUAAUGGUUCCCGACUUUCUCCGAUUUUCGCAACCGUCACCAUUUGUCAUUCCGAUUACUUCAUCUAUAAACCUUCUUUUCUUAUUUCAAAAUGGCAAUACGCUCUAAAAAAAGUAAAGGAUAAGCAUGCAUUCUAGAAGCGGUAGCUUCCCACCUUCAUUCCUACUGCCUCCUUCGGUGAAAAUUUCCCUUCCCUUUUCAAAAAUGCCUGAUUGGUCUGCUCAACAAACGUACAAAGUGGACCGCAGUUUGGCUGACCCUCUUCUUCCCAUUCGGGUUGGGUUCACCCAAAAGUAUAGUAAAAAGGAAUGGAACCACUGGAGAGUCAUCUGAAGUUCACACUUGGGCAAAGACAACUGACUUUAGAAGCGGAACACGAACCUAUUUUCGCUAUUCUGGGUUCUUAUUGAGCGUAGCAAAAUCAUAUGAGAAAGUAAGUGAAGUUUCUAUGGUGUUCUACCUUUGCGUAGUCUUGGUCCACAGUGGAAGGCUCCGUACCUGAGCCUCGUUAGACUCAGUGGAAGUGUAAGGUGUAAGUGAAGAGAAUAUAAGAGAUGAAGUCCGUACCUUAGCCUAGUCUAUAUCCACAGCUGACGUAACUCCGUACCGACGUCUCACUACUACUUAAUUAAUUAACGGCUAAACUCUUUCAUAACCUGAGCUUUCCUUAACUAGCUGACCUUACUUCGUAACCUUAGCCUCCCUUUCUUUAUAGUUCGACUAAGUGACUUCAUAACCUCAAUGUACUUUUUUUUAUUACUGUAGCAUAGGCCUUCGGCACUUCAAACGGGCGCUUCGCCCCCCCUUUUUUUAUUAGAAAGAGCAGGGCCUUACUUAUUCAGGGGGGAUGAAAGAAAAAAAGGAUUAGGGGGCUUUAUGAUCAGAGAAAGAGAGGGGGCGUGGUUGGUGGUGUCAUUGGGUCGGUGGGGUAACCCGAAGGAAAGGGGGACGACCCGCCGAAUUCACAUCAGAAAUCGCCAACAUGAACACAAAUGAAAUCUUGAAUUGCAUAUAAAAACAAAACGAACCACUUCUAUUCUCGGUGCUGAGAGAAUGGCUUUUUGGUCCCUUUCGUCCAGUGGUUAGGACAUUGUCUUUUCAUGUCAAAGACACGAGUUCGAUUCCCGUAAGGGAUAGAUACUCAUUCUCGACCGCUUUCAGUUAGUGUUCAAUGCUGAGUGAUCGCUCGCUAUCUGGCUUGAAAGGGUGGUCCGGAAGCUUCCUCUCUCCCAGCAAGCAAGACGAGAUCACCACUUCUCUCAGUAAUGGACUUCCUUGAAUUAUUCCUUAGCCUUAGAUGUCCUUUCAUAGAUUCUUGAACCUCCGACAAACAGAAUCUCCAUGCAUGCAUUCUUUCUCUCCUCCCCUCAGCCAUACAUCUCUUUUGUGUCCUUUUUUUCUUUUGGCCAUUUUUGUUAGGCAUUGAACCCCACCUUAGGUGCUGAGUGCUGUCCUCCCAUCCCUAAUACCUAAUAAAGAGUUCCGUCUAUAGAGCCUAAAGCUUCAACCAUGGAAUGGCAGUAAGUAGUAAGUUGGCCUAGUAUCUCGCCCAGCCUUCGCCUUCGCCUAAGUAGUUGAAGGGGCCAAGUUGAAGCGUUUAACGGUUCUUCGGCCUACCACCAGCUUGUUCAAUUGAAGCUAAUGCUAUGCUGCCCUUCCCUUGUUCAUGAUAAAGCAAGGACUUUCUUUUAGCUACCGGCCCAAACAAAAGAGAUUAGCCUCUUGAUCGAUCGAUUGAUUGGAUCGAAGUACAAAGGGGUUGAUUGAAGUGUGAGUCAGCCCAAGACUAAGGCCGAGCAACUAUCUAUCUCACCACGCUCCCCUACUCCUAUAAAGGCCGACGGAAGGAAUGCUCUGCUCAUCUUUCUUACGGCUCGUUACCGCAGUGCUUGUUCGUUCACCCCUUCGGCUUCUUCCAUUCAAAAAGGUAGUGUCUUUUUCCUAUUCUUAUUGGUAAAUAGCAUCUUGAAGUGAAGCGAAGGCAUUCUUGAAGGAAAGAGAUGGCGAGUCAGUCAAUUUCAUUAGAUAAGAGAUGCAGGACCUGUCUUAACCGCAAGUGCAUUCGCUAUUCGAUUCCAUUCUUGAUCCCACCUAAUUUUUAUUCCAAAGUUUGUAUCUCUUCUUUACUUUUAUUUUUAGUGACACGGGAGGCGACAAAGGGUAUACUUUAUUCUUUAUGUCGUCGUCUCAUCAAUGAGCGUAGAUUGAUAGAGAUGGCUUUUGUGCCGGUCAAUCUGUAUCCCAUUCUUCAGGUAUAGUUUUCUUUGAUCACAGAUCAACAGGUGAUCCGUCCCUUCUCCCCUUUUUGUCAUAAGGCGUGGUCUGACUCUGAUAAAAACCAUUCCUAUGUUUAGGUCCCUACUAAGCAGAAUUCAUAAACUAUGCAAUGGCUAUUUGAAUACUUUUCAUUUUAUAGCAAUAAAAGAAAAAACCAUUCUCAACGCUUUUAUGAGGUAGUGAUGAGUUAAACUACUCGUGUUGGCAUGGAAGUCCGCCCGGUAAACUGAUUCCAUUCUGCUACUAGGGUUCCAAACCUUCCCCUUAGCUCUAUAAAGACCUUUCCUUAUCAAGAGAUGCUAAAGCUAUUUAUAGUUGGUAUUUUAAAGUAGGAAGGAUGGCUUUGGGCAAAGAGCAACUCGAAAGUACUUGACUUCAGUCCCAGUACUGAAAGACGUGACUUCAGGAGUGGAUUUCGGAAGGAAAUACUUCGUUUACUUCCUGCAAAUUUCUUAUGUAAGAACUAGUAGAAAGAAAGGAAUUUUGAACAAAAGAAGGCAGCAUUGAUAGACCGUUGAAUGAGAAUGCUUGAAUGGGAAUCGUCUUAGCAACUGGCUAUAGACAUGAGUCAAAGCCGCCGGGAGAGGAGAGACAAUCUUUCAUGAGAGAGGGACGAGCAAGUGACAGAUUGGGAAAAAAAAAGGUAGGCCGGUCAUUUAGGGGCCUUGUUAGCGACCCAUCAUUCUUCCCUAAGCUGUCAGAGUCCGAUCGAAGCGAGCAAGAGAUAGAGGAAUCAUCGCUCAUAGAUGUGAAUUGAGAAAGCAAGCCCGAAUUCCUUUUUAAUUAGGCUCUAUAGUCUGGUCCCUGUCCCUGGUAAGGUCUGAUUGUUAUCCGCAAGUCUUGCGCGGGAAGGUGAACUUUGCAAAAGUGCUUAUUUGGUUGGGAAAGAGAGGACUUCUGACUCCAAGCCUACCCGAAAACAAGUUUCAGCUAUUGAUGUAGCUUCUUGUCGAUACUACUAGUCUUGUCGCUACCUACUAGAGAAAUCCCUUCUAUACCACUCAACAGAAGCAAAAAUCCCAUCAAGAUAGAUUGAAUCGACGACCUAUACUUCAACUAAANNNNNNNNNNNNNNNNNNNNNNNNNNNNNNNNNNNNNNNNNNNNNNNNNNNNNNNNNNNNNNNNNNNNNNNNNNNNNNNNNNNNNNNNNNNNNNNNNNNNAGCUAAAGCUAUUUAUAGUUGGUAUUUUAAAUUAGGAAGGAUGGCUUUUGGCAAAGAGCAACUCGAAAGUACUUGACUUCAAUCCCUGUACUGAAAGACGUGACUUCAGGAGCUCAGUUAUUGUUGAAGCAGUAGCUCUGGAUCAAGAGAUGGAUGCAUACCUUAUUAUUAUGAAAAGGGGAAAGGCUUUUUUUAUAGAUUAAGAGGUGAGUAAGGGGGAAGGAGAAUGGAAGACCAAAUAGCCCCAACUCAUAUCAUACCAAGAACUUGCCAUUAACAUGAUCAAGCGCUUUAGGGAGAUCACCUUCACCGAUGUUCUAAGAAUCUACAAUCGCUUGGCUGACUCGCUAGCCCUUAUGGAAUAAAUAUUCAGUCGCUCUAGUACACAUGCUAGUACACCGAAGCACAGAGUCGCUCGAGAGAUUGGACAUCCCAGCCACAAAGAGCCCUUCCGUCGAACGAGACUCAUUCAUCUUCUUGGAUGAAGACUAUCGAGAGUUGGAACAUGAUGAACUAUCACCAGUCAAGACGAGGAAGAUUACGAGGACGAUGGGAACCAUGGUAUUAUGAUUUCUAUAAUUACCUCAAGGACGGGUUCAUAUCAGAGUACGCCACUCGUGGUCAGAGGAGGUUAGGCUGCUUCACAGAUUGUCGAGUUGAGGAGAGACCUGGAUACUAUUAUCUGAGGGCGCGACAUUUCCUUAAGUAAUCUCUUCUUGUAUGGAUGGCUUAUAAAUGCUUGUAGGCAUCCUUGUUUAUAGAGUUCCCAUGGGCUUGUAGAUUGCUGAGUCAAUACGUCGAGGUUUCUUAAAUCCUUACUUCAGGAUCGUAUCAGAGAGCUCGAGACCCAGUUGAGGAGUCGAGCUGAUACAAAGCAGGAGAUAGAUCUAUCUUCUAGAGUCACAGAAUUAGACCCUCUCAUCCGCGAAGCUAGGGCCAUAUGCCUAAAUCCCCAGCGUCAUGGGUCACCUUCCCUCUUUCCUCCCCACAGGCGCUCCCAAAUUGAUCGUUAUUUUAUCGUUUUCAUAUCUUACUUUCUUGUAGUCUAGAAUUGUUAUGGAACUGGUUUAAUCCGGUAUUGUUAGUAGGAAGUGGUGAUAGAUAGCAUGAGGCUUACUUACCUGAUUCCUUUUAGAAGGCGGUCCAAAGAGGAGCUAGUAGAACAAUCGACACAAGAGAGGAGAUGAAAGGGAGAGAGUGGUUGUCAAAGACUCAAACGACUUCAACAGACUUUUCGAUCACUGAUCACGAUCAGUCAUUUUUACUCUCAUUGCUAUAAAUUAUUUGAGAAUCUUCGCCAUCUUGUCUAAGUGCUAAGACACGCUCGUCCCCUCUUGCCCUACCGAUCUAUACUACCUCGUAUGGUACUGUCUUUCUCGCUGCGUGCUUUUCUACAGGGAACACCCCAACCAGCAGCUAAAGAAGGAAUUCUGGUGCCAAUUUCAUACCCUUUACCAUAAAAAGUUAGUGACUCCCACCUUCCGAUCUACUGGUUAUAGAUUAAUGGCUUACACCCCCGUCCACGGGCUUUGGCUCUUUAAGUGAUGACAAGGAUGCUGGGUCAACUGUUGACUCGAAUCCUGCCUCAUGGUGCCCGUAUAAAAGAAGGAAAGAGAAGUGAGUCAAACUGGGGACUAGGAAUAAACUACCGAGAACGAAGAUUUGACUGAAAGCAACCAGAAUGGAAUAACAAAUUGAAUAGAUGUGGAUGGAACUGCCUACGUUGCCUCAUCCUUUUUUUGUUUUCCUUAUUGAGGUGUCUUAUAGAGCAGAUUGUAGGAUCGUAGGUGAGACUGAUUGUUCUCAGUUCCUUUGCUAAACAGUAAUCUCGUAAACCAGUAGACCAAUCUUCGCUAAUUGAAUUCAAUUUCAUUCUCUGAUUUCUUUGUUUACAGAUUUAGAUUUUCAUAUAAAUUGCACUGAACUGCAUUUCAUAUGAUCCAGAGAUUGAUAUUUCCACAUGUCACUCUACCAAGGUGAACUAUUUCCUUUUGGUUGGUUUCUUAGAAUAGAAGGAUAAGUCCCUUAUCUCCUCUAAGCAGUUCACUUCUAGAGCUCCAUCUCUCAGAAUCAAAAGCUGGAAUAAAAGAUUGAGUAUAUGGAGAGAUGAUCCUACGCUUUCUUUCUCUGUCUUUAAAAGAGUGAGUGAAGGUAGGGAAGACGGGAGUUAGUUUGUUCAAGUCAAUAAGAGGUAAGGUCUCGCUUAAGUGUUUUAUGGUAUCUCCUGAGCAAUAGAUGAAGAGGGUCUCUCGCCGGGGUCACUCUCAAUAUAAGUAGGAACUUCUUUGUGCACAGCUGAUUGCGUAAGAGAAUAGGUUCCUUCUAUUCUUCCUAGAGGCAAGAGAAGCGUGCUAUUCUUUGUCCUCCAAAUCUCGUAAGAGAAUAAAUAGAAUAUAGGGCUAUUUCCUCUGUAGCGUCCCCAAAUCCGGGUACUAAUCACCACGAACCUGGUACAACAAUUCUAUAACUAUUGCGGAAGAUAUAAACAUAAAUUGUUUAUACAAUAACACUUACACAAAUUCAAAUCCUAAAGGACUUACAAUGUUAUUUGCAUUUGCCUGUAUCCGAGGUAUUCGUCCUAAUCUGCAAUGUUUAUCAUAAUAUAGCAAGGGUGAACAAGAAGUUUGCCCAACAAGUUUAAGUUCAAGAAAAGAUAUAUCAUGAUUGAAAGAAUAAUAAGCUAACAAAACUUUCAACAAUAUAAUAAUUGUGAAAGAACAUGAAUAAAUUUUCAUAACUAAACGACCGAGAUAAUAAAAAUAAAUGGCCAACAAUGAACAUGAACAAAUUAACUGGACUAAAUGGUAAUGAAGGUGAUCAGUCUUUCAUACCUGAUGAACAUAUGCAACAUGCACAUCGUGCGAAUCAACAAAUCAUAGACAUGAUGUAAUCAACAAUGAUUAACCACUAGUUAAAAGUAUAGUUCAAGAAAACUUGCUUGCACCAUCGACUACUACUACACAAUCUAUUUUAGCUUCAUCUGAAGACCUAAUAUUGUUAAUAUUGAUCUCCUAAUUAGAAUAAUACCAUCACAUAUACUACUGUUAAUUACAUUUAUAAAAUAACCUAAACACAUUACCACAUUCUUAAUAGUCAAUGAAACACAUAAGACCCGGUAUCAAGUCAAACUAUUUCAGUCUGAGUUGAGUUCGGUACUAUUUCGACAUCCCGACUGCCUAAUCGGAUAAUUAUCGAGCCUAUUAUCAAUAAGACUCUACUAAAACAUUUCAAUAUUAUUUUAAAUAAUUUAUUAUUUAAUCAAAACAUUUUUCAAAAGCUAAUAAUAAUUUUCAAAUAAUUAUUAUCAUUUAUAAUGAUUUUUCAAUCAUUAAUAUCAUUUUUAAAUGAUUUAAAUACUACAUAAUUCCAUUAUCAUUAAUAUUUAAUUGAUUUCAAAUAUUAAUGAAAUACAUGACAUAUUAUUAUAAGUUAUUUAUAAUAUCUCAAAGUAUUUUUAAUACCUUAAUAUCACAUUUAAAUGAUUUUAAAACAUUUAAAACCAUUAUUAAAUAACUAACAUUAAUAUUAAAAUAUUAAUGUAUUUCAUGAAAAAAUAUUAAAAGUUAUGUUUUAUAACUUAAAACAUUUUUAAAACCUUUAAAUCAUUUUUAUAUGAUUUUUAAAACAUUAAAACCAUUUUUCCAUAAUUUAUUUAAUACAAUUAUUAAAUAAAUUAUUAUCAUUAAUAUUAAAUUAUUAAUGAAAUCCAUACCAAAAUAUUAUAAGUCAUUCAAAAUAACUUAAAAUGUUUUUUAACACUUUAAUAUAAUUUCAAAUGAUUUUUAAAAUAUUAAAAUCAUUUUGAAGUAAUUUAUUUAAUAAAUUAAAUAUCAUUAAUAUUUAAAUAAAUUAAAAUAUUAAUGAAAUAUAUCUCAAAUUAUUAAAAAGUCAAUUUUUAUGCCUUAAAAUAAUUUUUACAAAUUAAUUAUGAAUUUUUCAUAAUUAUCUUCCAUUUUAUUCUAAUUAUUUAAUUUAAAUAAUUCAUUUUUUUAAAACCGUCGCUAAAGGGGCCUAUUGCGACAAAACUGUUGCUAUAGGUGUUCUUGAGCCCUCAAGAACAUUCAUAAUCAGUUACCAGGGUACCUAAUUUGACCACCAUCUCUAAUUUCUUGAUUUUGAUGUUUCUGGGCUUGUAAGUGUAUUAGUGAUGUAGUAUUGAUGUAAUACUAUAAGCAUAAACAAGUUUCAUGGCCAAACUACAUCACAACAGUAAGUUAUAAGCCAUCAAAAAACUUGUUAGAGUUCUUCAUUUUCUGGGUUACCCAGAAAAUAAGAACAGUGCAAGGGUUUGGAUCUUAAUAACUUGGAUUCUGGGCUUUCUUAGUGUGUUAAAGUGUAACACUUAUGUAGUAGGUAUGUCAAGGUACAAAAGUAAUUCACUUUUGUAGCUUAACAACAUCACAAUUGAAAGAUCUAAGCCAGUCAAACUGAUGUCAGAAGCUGUUCUUGAAGAUUCUGGGUUUUCCAGAAAUCUUCAUCAGGCAGUUGGUCAACCCAUAUUUGACCAUCAAUAACUUUGAUUAUGUUCAUGAUCUAGGUGUUCUAGUGUAAUGGUUGUGUAGUCUAUAUGUCAGAGUAUGUUAUUGAUACACUCUCAUGGCCCAAAACCUUAACAACAAAAAGAUCUAAGGCCUUCAAAGUGAUUGUCAGACAAAUAUGGGUUUUUGGGUUACCCAGAUUUCCAGAUUUUGUGCUUGGUCAACCAUGUUUGACCAUUAAUAACUUGAGAUCUAGACAUGGUAUGGACUUGAUUCCACUUCCAGUCUACUCUCCUCAUGACAUAGAACAUGAAUGAUACACUUAUCCAUCCUAACAUCUAACAGGUUGAGAUCUAGAGGCCCUGACAUUAGGCUGUUAGGCCAUAAAAUUAGGUUUCUUAGACAAUUUCUAAAAUCCUAUUUUCAUACACUUAGAUGUUAUGGAUACAUGAUGUAACAUCAUAGAUCACUAAAUAACAUCUUAAAACACAUAUCUAAACAACAAAUCACAUCAUUAACAGAAAUCUUAAGGAUUUACAAAGAUUAGGGUUUAUACCUUUCAUUCUCAAAAUUUUGAUUUAUGAUCCUUUGAUUCUGAUCUUGGCUAGCUAAGAGUUUAACUUGGCUUAACUUAUCACUCAUUUUCACUCUCAAUUUUCGAAAGUUUAGAGAGAGAGAGAAGGUCUUGGCUAAGUUAGAAAGUAAAGUAAAGACAUUUUCUAAACUAUUAAGUUUUAAUCUUUUGAUUCAUUGAACUUGAUGUUGCUAGGUGGCACCUUGUGGCUGAUAAGGAAGAUUUAGAACACAUGCCAAAAUCCAAAGUGAUGACUCAACAAGAUUUGUGAUAUCUUUUACUUAAAGUUUAAGUAAAAGGGCAUUUUAGUCAUUUUGCACCUACUAAGGGUAUUUUGGUCAUUUCCCCUACAAUUUGAAGGGUAAUUUGGUCUUUUCACAUACAUCCUAUAUCUUUUAAUCCUUAAGUCUUAAUACUUAACAUUAGGGUUCCCAAAUUAGGGUUUUGAAAUUCCCGAUUAGGGUUUAGGGUUUCCAAAGCUGAAAUUAGGGUUUCCAAAGCUGAAAUUAGGGUUUUUAACCAAUCGUUAGGGUUUACUAACUGAACAUCGAAGUUCUUAAUAUAACAUUAGGGUUUUGUCAACGAUACACUUAUCUGAUCAACAAUAGACCCUUAACCAUAUACUGUACACAUAUAAUCACUAUACACAGCAUCGUAUACACUCAUACAGUUAACUCUAUAAGUUCUUCACAAAAUUUUUAAAUCCAUAUAAAUCCUUCACAUAAUUCUUAUUCAAUAUUCUAUUUCCCAGUCUAGGCCUUAUUAUUGAACCUUUGUUUAAUCAUUUAAGAUUUUAUUAAUUGUCUAAAUUUUCGGGUUAUCACAUCCUCCAUUAAUGGGUGUCCUUUCCCCCCUCGUGAUUUGGGUUCCUCUUCUUUUAUAGGCAUGGCUCUCUCGCAUCUUAUUCUACUACUUCUUUUGUAGAGGAAGUCCGUCAUGAAUGUCGGUCUAACUUUGUUACCUUAGCCUAGAAAACAGCCUAGUUUCCUAGGGCUCCUUAUAUCUUUUUCCUAGUUUCAGAAAAUACCCGAAAAAGAAAAUCCCUCGUGGACCCAUAUCCAAGCUCAGAGAGUACUCUUCCUUCUGCCUUACACCUCCUAUGAACGAACCUGAUAGGGCCACGUACAAAAGGUUCUUUACUAAGUUUAAGAAUUGUGUUGUGCUUUCCAUCUCGACUCAUUCAUGCUACCACUGAGCGGACUUUUCUAUAAAGAAUAAGAUAGAUCUGGCCCUAUUGGAUUGGUCUUCACCGAGUCCUAUAAUUUUCAUUCUUUAUGUCCUGCAAAACGCAUCUUAGUAACGGCUGGGAAGCCUUAGAUAUCGGAAAUCGCUUGGAGCAUAUUUCAUCUAUGAACAAGUUCAUUACUAGCAUGAGGCACUGGCAAGGGCAUCUCCUUGAAGAAAAAGAAAAAGCGAAGCGUAUCCCCCUGGGGAUGACUUUGAAGCGAUUGAAAGACCAUAUGAAACGAAAGAUUCUGUAGUGUGGUCACAAAGAGCUUCUUUUUACUCUGUUCCCGGGGAAUGCUCUUAAAGAUAGGUGUCAGGCUAGCUUUCAUAAGCCAAUGUCUGGAGAUUAAUCUAUACAAAUUAUCACACGUAGUGGCACCCCAUUUCAUUGGUCUUGUUCUUGCACCAGGAGCCCUUGAAACUCUAUUACAAACAAGUUUUUGACUAGGCUUUUGAACCACAAGUUAUUACAUAAUCUUGCUUGAACAUGAAUAUUGGCCCAGUAAGUAAGGCGACAUUUGCGUCGAUCACUCACUCAAUCUUAUUAAUUCACCAAUUUCCUCAUUUCUUGCAUCUCUGACGAAAGACCCAGAAAGACAACUUCUAAAUGCAACCUUUUUCUCCACCAGAAACCAACCAUAGGUCAACCGAACCCAAGGCGUAACGGGUGAAGGCCCUAAGAAAACUACUUAAAAAAUAGGAACAAAGAGCCUUGCAAUAUUAAUCGCAGAUGUGCUUUUGGUCCACUACCAAUGCCUGUAGUCCUGUAGUUGUCUAAGUUCAAAUAGAAUAAUCACUUGACUACUAGGGAAAGUGAUUACAUACCUUGACAGAAUAGUCAUUUCAUCCCAAGAACUAAAUCAAUGGCAGGGAACCUAGUUAAGCAAAAAUGCCAGGAGAAGGACUACUUGCCUAAGCUCUCACUUGCUCUAUCCAAAGCGUCUAUCUCUAGCGAAAACUGUUAGCUCUUUCAUUUCUACGACCAACCGAGAGUCCCUGUGCUAUGGCUCACACCCGGAAUAAGGUUUUUUCUUGAUCUGCUUUAGCCUUGUUGAGCUUUAAAGUACUUAUUGCAACUGUAACCGCGGUUACAGAAAUAAGAAACUUCUCGUUGACUGAAGCACUUGAACUUCACUUUCCAACUUGUUGGGAGUAGGGGCUUUACCUGGAACUGAAACUAUAUCUUCUGUUCAACUCGGCUUCCUUAAAUUAAAGACUUUGAGGGUUUGUAGGGCUUUCCAGUCGCGCUACUCGAAAGGAACUAGAAGUAACCUUUUCUCUAAGCUAAGCCACAAAGAAAGAACAAAGGAUUUCUCAUCUGGAAGCAAAAGUGCUAUUUUCAUGAAUUCUAGGCGAUUGUAUAGGGAUGUAUUAAGCAUUCCUUUGAACGCAAUGAGAAGAUCUAGGGUAGAAUGUAGCUCCCUAGUAGCUCAAAGAAAGUCUCGUCCCGACCUGGGGUUGGCUUGAGAAGGAGAGUCUUACCGGUUGUUAACAAAGCGGCAUGUAAGGAAGCAAAGAUGAACCGGCUUGGGGGGAAUAAAUAAUAUGAAUUGGAAGGUGAGUCCUUAAUACCAAACUACCUUCUCUUCUAAUUUUGCUACGAAAUAUGGAUUUUCAAGCUCAAUUCCAAGGUAAGGUUUUGAGCCAAUCAAGUAAGCGAGUACCUGUAUCCGUCCCUGCUGUCGUAGGUGAUGAAUUAGUGGGAGUAAGAAAGGGUUAGUGAAUGAAAUUUCCUUCAAACUUGUCAGUGUGAAAUCAAGCUUCAGAGUUAACAGAGUCAAACAGUGAAAUGAAAUCUCUUUUAUACAAAUCUUAUCUUAUGCUUGCCCGAGGGGAUAAUAAAUAGAAAAGCAAGGACAUGACUAGUUUUCAAGCGGAAUUCGAAGAUUAGUCUUUCUCGCCUUUCUGCUACCUCGGAAGAGGAAAUUCCAUGUUCAAAAUCAAGAUGAAGCAGUCCAAUCCUGAAUGAGAUCUUUUGGGCUCGACUCGAGAGGAUCAAACAGAAGACAUCGCCAUGUUAAUGCGAUCACAAGAUAAAACAAAGAAGCUGCGAUCACAACAUGAACAAAAAGAGGGUCUUUCAUCACAUUUCGCCGGUAAAAUAGAUUAGUCAAAUAAAAGUGGAGAUUGAACGCUAGAAGGCGCAGAUAGGCACUGCGAGCACAUAUCAGAAGGCAAGCGAGCUGUGUUCACUUCAGGUUUUGUAGUGGGAAAUGCUUGCCUGUGUUCACUUCAGGCAAGCGAGCACAUAUUUAGAUUUGAAGGCGUAGCACAGUCUGUAAUGAGAGCGGGAUGGGGACGGAAAUAAAGGGUUCCCCCUCUCCUGUAGUAGCGAACCAGUCAAUUUGGAAUUUAAGAAAUCGUAGGCCCAACGACAAGUCCUCAACAAACAUAAAGACAUGAACGACCAACGGUAAGAGCGAGUGAACUAGUCAAGAACUCAAAUCCGUAAUUCACGAAAGGCAUUGAUAAUCCAAGUCUUAACUGUGACCCGGAUCAUCUCGGGCAAUGUUAUAAUAAUAUAUGGUUCUCAUUUUUGAACAAAAAAUACCUUCUAAAGAGCUCACUUCAGCAAGAUUCCAAGCUGAAGGAAGGAAAGAAGAGAUGCAGUCGUAACGCCGAGAAAUGGUAUUAGUAUCCGGUUGGUCGAGAACAAAUGUCAUAAAAAAUCACAGAGACGAGAUGUUUUAUUUGAAAAAUCAGGAAAAAGAUAGGAGACGAUUCUCAAUAGCAGGGAAUUUGAUAGCAAGAGCAAAGAGAAGAGCCUAAUCGAUAACAAGCCCUUCGUACCUAAGUCCCACAGGCUUCAUAUGCAAGAGUUAGGAUGGAGCUUUCACUAAUAUAAGGGGGUCGCUUUGAUUGAAAAGUUUCUGAUUCAACUGUAGUGCAUUCUCGAACAGUAAGAGCUGAAUCGGAAUAUCCCUCUUCUCUUUCCUUUUGUACCCUUGGGAAGUCGGCAUAAGGACAGUGAGGAUCCCUCGAUAAUAAAGAAGUCUACUUUGAGGCUAGGCACCUAAGAGCGGAUUCUUUAAAACCAUCAAUAUGAUAAGAUAAAAGAAACACUAUCUCCUCUACCCAUCGUUAGAGCUAUCCGGCACGUUCUAAGCGCAAGGAAGUCCUACUCUACUAUUACUGUCUAUGCGGAGGGUGAUAUAGACUCAUUUCCUUCUUUUCGUUUGGUUAGCAGUCAGUAGUAACUAGAGCCCACGGCAGGUGCCGCAGACCGUAGAGAGAGUUUUAGUUCAGUUCGCACCGUCAAACGCUAGUGAAAGUAAGUUUCGGUUAGCGGGACAGUUGGAAGUCGAGGGUGACUUUCAAGAAAUAAAUAGGCAUGGAAAGCGAUGCGCUCAAGCCUUUAUGGAUAAAUAGGUAGUAAAAAAACUCUUCUUUGCGGUGAGCAGUACGUCUAAGUUAUGGGAGUCGCAGAUCCAUUUUUAUUCUGGUAGUGGAAGGCGUGAUGUAGGCCUAUCGAAAGUGAAGCUACAAAAAUACAAUCCAAUUUUCGUUAUUAAAGCGGUAUCCUAAAAGUACUUUCAAGGAAGGAAGCCCUUUAAUGAAAACCGGACCUGAAGAGAUGUAGGCCGAGACUAGAGUCCGAUCUGAACCUUUACUUUCACCUGAAACCUCGAUGUUUAGUGAAGAACAACUAACAUGCAAAUGGGAGUUUGAAGGUUUCUUUUGCUUGCGAUCAAUCUAGUGAGCUCUUUCAAGCCCAUAGUAAGGCUUUAGGUUCAGACUGAAAUCUUUUUCUUUUCGAGCGUUAGUCGAGGUAGGAGAGCGAAGCGAACAAAAGAGGAGGAGGGCGCUAGGCUAAACAGAGUGUUAAUUACCAAAAAUGACUUGACCACUAGCUAAGUCCCGCGGGUAACACAAGGCCGAAGAUGGAUGCGAAGAAUAUUUGAAACCACUCCCAUCCCAUCCAUAGAGAAUAUGCCCUACUAUCGAGGGACAUAAUAGCUAUUAGCUUCCGCCUUCUCCAGGGCUUGAAAUGCCGGACCUAUCAUGGACAGAAACUAAACUAGGCUCGAUAGAUCAAGGGAAGGGCUCGCGUAGAUAAAUUUCCUGAACCAUAAGCUAAGGUCUAAUACCCUUUCAUUUCGGAAGCAAAACCCAGAGCAAAGAAAGAUGGAGGCGACACGGACAACAGUUAGAACAGACAGAUAAGAGCACAUAGCAUCACUUACAUCAGAAGUGGGAUCACUCACUUCAAACCUUACUACGCUAGCAGGAAAUUAGUAACUAGUAAACUGACCCUGCUGGGGUCCUCCCCAGGAAUCCUUAGCCAGCCCUCUAUAUAGUUAGCUUCUUAGGAGUGUCAGGUAUAGGGUAAGAAUUCAUCACUAGACUAUAAAAGGCUUGUCUUCACCUUCUCUUCUACGGAUCUUGCGAAUGCAUAAUAGAACUUCACAUUUUCACUACUACUGCUAAAAAUGAAUCCUUUUUCCAUGCCUGGGUUUAUAACUCCAGCUUUUUAAAAAUGCCUGGGACAACUAAUCAAAACUAAUACGGCUCCCUUAUCUUUGAGACUACCCUUAGGACUCUAUUAAGUCAUUUAACAACGGAUAGACACAAGUUAUGACAACCCUCACACGAGAGCAAAAAAAAAGUGAAAGGGGCAUAGAGCACAACUUCGAUUCAUUUAUGUGAUUAUUGAAUCCCAACUUAACGAACAAAGGGAGGAAGUCUAUCUUGUUGGUACUGUACCAUUGACUAAACUAAACACCAAAAGAAUAUAGAUUUCAAACAGCAAAUCAAUGCAAUAAAGUGAGUUUAGGAUUGAUAAUAGAGUGAAUAGAAAAAGAAAAAACACAUGGUUACGCUUUCGAAGCUAGCUAGCUUAAGUUAAGCCGUUGCGCGCAAGGGCGCUAAGAGCAUCAUUGCAUUCAUUAAGACAGAUUAAAAGUCUGUAGUUGACAAGAGAAAUAGGCAAUGAAAGGUAUUCAAGUUACGUUGUCAGUCUACGGUAUCGAAGCUUCGGCUUAGUCACAAUCUACCUUCCUUCUUGUUUCAGAAGGAAUGUUAGGAGUUCCCCUUAUGUGAGGAGUGAGUAACGAGUGAGGAAAGCUCUAUUAAAGGUAUAAGAGUGGACUUCUAUCUAGUAGCUAGUCUGAGGUAAACGAUUGAACGAUUGAUAAUUGAGUUCAGGAUUGGUAAUUGAAUCAUAGACUAAGCAUUAUGAAGAGCUCAACUUAUUAUAAUGAAUGCAAUGAUUCUGGGCAAUUUUCGAACUCUAAUGAGGAACGGAGAAUCACCCAUUAAAGCUGUGGAAGUAGGGAUUUAAGCAUUCAUUAAAGCAAAGUAAACGAUACACGUUGAUUGCGCAGAUAAGCUUUCUUUCCUUCUAACGAAGGCAAGCCGUUAGUCAAGAGGUUAGUUGCCAGUUCUUCGUUCAUAGGUACUCCCUUGCUCCACCUUUUUGGCCUAGUAACUCUCUCGCCUUAUAUAUAGCUAGGAGUGUUCAAUAAGAGUUUUGAGUGACUCUAAAAAGAGAACAAGCUGUCAAGAGUGAAGUCAACAGAGUCGAUAUCAACACCUAAAGUCGGCAAUCACUCUCUGUCCAAAGUUAGGAGUUCCGUUACUAGUCAUCGACUCUUUGAGUCGAGGACAAUGUAACCAUCCCUCGUUAAGAGGGAAACUGCUUCUAAUGUUAUUUAACUAGGCAAUUUCAUUACUUUAAUUCAACGAUAAAAUCUCUCUUAAAGCCAAGCUAAGCAACCGAACCUGGCUCCAUCAAAUCGCUGAAACAAAAGCUGUUUAAAUUAAAGGAAGGAAGCUUGAUAGGACACAAAGUGAUUAAUAGGGCGAGAAGUCAAAUAUCUCUUUUCUUUCCUCAAAGCAAUAGGUAAAUCCAGAUUAGAAACAACAGAAGGAGGAAUAGAGGACUGGGGGAGCCCAUAUUCAUAUUUGGAAGGGAGGUUUUUCUCCCAGGCCUGUCUUGAAUGCAGGGUUUGUUAAGCAGCCUGCCUUAUGAAAGUAAGAAUGCGGGGAAGGUAUUCCCCUUCAUCUCUCUAUUCUCGAAACCUAGGUCUAGUAGCUUGUUAAUAACAUCUAUAGGGGAAGCAUCCUGCCUUUAAGAGCUCGAGGGCAACUUAAGGUAUGACCCUUUGGGACAUCCACAAAGGAACUCCCUAGGGUAGGCAACCGACCGUAGAAACAUUAUCUCCUACAUGCGCCUAACUACCAUUGCUAUAUCUAUAUCUAAGAAGCUAGCUACUAGCAUCCAAGAGAGAGCUACCAUCUAAUACAUUCCGUGCUGCCCUUAUCCGCUCUAACCUAAGAUUGAUCAAUAGAAGGGGUUAUAAUCUAUCCUUAGCUCUUCGCCUAGCUUCAAUAAAAAGAAAGGUUGCUUGCUCCAGAAGCAAACCCUAGCUACAUCCUAAUGCUCAAAUCGAAUCUAUUCUUAUCUUUCUUGAUCUACGACCAACCUUGUCUCCCAAGCCUGAUUGUUCAGGUUCAGAGGAAGAACAAGAAUUCUUUCAUGGGCAUACCAAACAAAAGGAAGAUGCAGAAAGCGGUUGAUGAAUCUUCAAUCAAAGGAAUAAAAAUAGAAAAUUUAUAAUAUGCGGGUGAGAAGACCCGCAACCGGUACCCUAGCCUCCGACGAUGGCCAAUCUCUUUCAUUUUCGUCUAAAAUGGACAAUUCCAAAAAGGAGAAAACUCAUUGCAAAAGAGAUUGAUCUUUCAGUACAGGUUCAAGUUUAGAUAAGAGACGAGAGCUAGAAAGUUUAUUUACAGAAAGAGUCAAAUCGAAAUAUAGAAGCAUUCCAACUUUACCCCACCCAACUGCUUCCCCGUCAAACUCUUGUAUCUCGUAGUUGAGGGUAUCUAAACUCUCGUUUAAAUGCUUUAGAGGAGAGGUCCCCCCAACUUAUUUAAUUUUAAGGUGCGACAACCCAUAAUUAGUCUGUGUGCAUGGGCCAAUAAGAAAAUGGAACAAUCUGGCUAGAAGCAGAAUCCAUGGGUGAGCUGAUUCUUCCUUCGCUUACGAAAGCAGGCAUUUUUGGAAUCAAGCAAAUUUCGAGCAGGGGUCGGAGUGAAGCUCAUGGGUUGAUCUCACUCAAUGCAUCAACAAUCUAAGUUAUGUUUCGUGUCAUGAAUGUGUGAAUUAGAAUCUGAUCAUCUGAAAUGUAGUGGACUCCCUUCUUGGACAGAGGGGCGCAUCUUGCUCCCAUCCCAAGCUGCAUGGGAAGAAUGGUAUUAUGUUCCACACUUGUUUUUAGCCCUGAGAGCGACGUUGGUUAUAACGACGAUGCAUUCGAGGUUUCACGCGCGAUCUUCUUCUAAAUAGAAAUAACCCUGGAAUAGACAUUGAGGCUAGCUCAGCGGCAGCGUCCUCUUUAGGGAAAUUUGGAAGAAUUUCAUACUGAGCCAGGCUAGCAGGAUGGGGUUCAAUGAAAGCUGCUGGUAAGGCUGCAGUUCACGCUGCAUAGCUUACUAAUAGGAAUGUAGGACGGGGGAGCUACCUCCUUUAGAGAACUAGGAGGGCACUUAAGCUAUUCCUAUAGAGGGAACAAAUCUACUCCGGCCGGACUCUAUCCCUGGGAAUGGAGGGAAGUUUAAGCAUCAUUACUUAUUCAACUACCAGUUAGAGAAGUAAGGGUAUUUCUGUGACAUAUGUGAUUUGUCAAUUUGGUUGAGUGCACCAGCGCUUUUCUCCUUAGCUUGUGAAUGGCUCAAUCGGGCACAUGAAGUUGCUUUGUAUCGUAAAUUGAUACAGUCAUCAGUAACCUUAGACUGCCGCUAACAACCAUGGAAGGUUCUCUUUUCCCCUCUCUUCUUCUUAAGGUAAGGUAAAGGGCCAGGCAUGGUGGGGACCAAGAAGUCUUAUGUCCUCCGAGUCGCACGGCGUUUUAACCAAAAGAACUUCUUGCGCAAUUCAUGCCUUUCUGUUUUUAUAACUAGAAAUUUUUUCUUUAUUUCCAUUUCAAAUUGUUCUCUGGACUUUUUAUCAAUAUGUGGUGAGCGUAACACAGUAUAUAAGACUCGUGAUUCAGGCAAUCCAAUCUUCCGUGUGUAAGGCAGAAGCCCCCAAAAAGGGUUUUCACAAAAUGGGUGAUCAAAAAUCGAAUCACUAGCGUAUCUUGGUGGUCGUUACUUUUGGUGGUCUUUCUUUUUGGCCGACUCCUAUUCAUCAGAAGCAUCUAGCAGCACCACACCGGUUUUGAAUUGGAUUCUAAGGGCUAAGGCUCCCUUUCAGCGAUUGACUUCUCUUUUAAUCAGACGCCAGACCUUGCUAUCGGGAUAAGACCCCAAGCCGUUUUUCAAGCGAGCGAUAAAUGGGAAUUGGUUCUUCUUCGCUUUCUCUUCAACCUCUCACACCACAAAAUCCGCGACGCUUUCGAUGUCAUCGCACCUUUCGGCUUUCCCCCGAGCGAUCUCUUGUCCGAACAGAUUUGUCCAUCAGUAAUGGGGCUUUCGUGCUUUAGCACUUGGAUUUCACCUUUCAUAAAUCCCCAUCCAAGCACUUGGAUGUCAUCCUUGAUCGCCCUUUCCACCUUUUGAUUUUCAAGAAUUCUCUUGAAAAAAUUCUUAUUGACUUCCAAGAUGCAUUCUUCUUUUUUCUGAUGAUUCACACCCUCUACAAUAUCUUUUAUUUUAGUGAGGAUCUCAGCCUUCUUAUUUGAGACUGCCGAAGAAUCUCUCUUUGCCUUUUUCUAAUCAAGAAUGGCUUUUAUACGAUCAGGGUCUUUUUCGUGAUAGACGUCUUCAGCCGGUUAAGGGAGGGGAGCCUCAGGCGAAGGGACGUUGAAAUCCGGAAUAGACGAGCCGACACCGCCUCCGACAGGGAGACAAAAUCCUUCCAUGGCUGAAAGCAAAAAAUCGAUAAAGUACACAAAUAGACCAAAGAAAUAGACUCCCCAAGUCAAGGCCCAGUCCCAAAGCAAACAAGAAAGGAAGAAAAAAAGCCUUUUUAAUAGCAGUUGCCCCAGAUACCGAAUUGCUGCAAAUAACCACCUUUUAAUCAUAAAAAAAUGAAAAUUAUCUAUAGAAUGGGCACUGUGAACUAUCUGCCUCAAAAAGAUAGAUGAAAGAAAUUGGUUUGGGCUACGAAGACGAUUUCUUUAUGCUCAUCAAAGGACCUCGAGAUGCUAAUCCAUGAAAAAUGAUACGAGAAAUUCGAAAUCAUAUACAGAACGAGAGCGACCCGUGGCAAAGGAACUAUUUCUUAGCAACUUGGACAACUUAUAACGAUGUUUGUCCCGCAUCUCACUAGGAAGAUCGGGAUCUUUACAAAAGGCUUUAUAAAGCUUUCGUCUCAAUUCAUAUUUAGCAGCGAGCAAUCUACGUUUGUGAUCUCGUAUAUUUCGCUUCUCCGACAUCUUACUUACUUUCCCCCUCAUCUUUUUGCAAAAAGCCACUCCACGGUGGUAAAAUCUCAAGAGUGUGUUGGCCGAAGUGACAAUAGUCACGUUGAACCCUCGAAUAUGUUCGAAGAUCUCGAAAUGAUCUUCCAGUUCUGGGGAUAAUUCGCAAAACUCCGUUUCCAUCGAGAAUUGAAUGGAGUUUUCCCAUAUUUCGACCGGAGAAUCUAAUGGAGACAUUACUGUGGAGAUUCUGAACAAAAAAGUAAACAUUCCAUGCCCUCGGAGAGUGCUUUGUUGUUCUAGGUCGCUGACAGACCCUUUAUUUGACCCCAAUAAAUAGUAAUAAUCAAAAACCUUGGCUCCUAUGUUUUAUCCUGAUAAAACAUUUCUCAAUAUAUGUUGAGUUCAAAUUCAUCAUGUGAAGAGGGAAGGGACUCAUUUAGCUGACCAUGAGGCAAGCUUGGGUAAUAGGCUGCAGUCUUGUAGUCAGUGGAUGGAGGUCUUCCAUUCCAGAAGAGAUUGUAAUUUCACUCUUUCCCCCACUUAUAAGUGAUGCAAUUGGACUUGCAUAUUAGGCUAUAUACGAGCCCCUAUACUAUGAUAAGUUAGCAGGGAUCACUCUUUCCAUCAGGUUUUCUACAUUUCCUCUGAGAUUAAAGUCCUCAUAGUUGUCACUCUUUUUUUUUCCAUUUCCAUUUUUGAUUAUCAAGAAAAAAAACCAUUUCUUGUUUUUAUGAUGCUCAAACUAACACAAGGAGGGGAAAAGCUUCCCUUUGCAUGGAAGAGAUAUAUUUCCUCUUUUUCAUAUGAAACUCAAGCCUUUACUUUGUUUGCCAAACCAGUCAUCAAAAUGUUGAAUUAGCAUGCACUAUUUUUUAUCAAUUAAACAUCUUUGCAUUGAUCAUAUUAAAAAAAUUCCGAAUUUGUUUUCUUAUAGGGAAAUCUGCGUAGCACUGCAGCAACACCAAACCCAGCACCUAUAGAUAGCUUGGUAUAUAAUGGAAUUGGUAUAUGAUUGAACGGACGAGAGACGUGGCUGAAACUCCAGAACUGAAAUUCCCCUUUGCCAAAUACUUCUUGCUGCUCUAAAUUCCACUUAAAUGAAGAGCCUUGCUGUAGUAGCAGUGAAGAACUUGAAUUCAAUAUUUAUGGAUCUGUAUGUGAGCUGGACGGAGACAUAGAAUCUGGUGCUUUCAAUCACCGUUCAUUACAAAGCUUUGAGAUUGCUGGACGUACUGCUUUUAGUGGAUAUAGGAUACCCGCUAGUGUUAGAUCCUAUAGUGAACUUGGAGCAUAAUCAAUCAGAUAAGGACAUUUUGUCCAGGCCAGACAUGUGGAUUACAUCUGGCAUUGAUCAUUCCCAAAAUGGUAUAGACAUUCAGAGUAUUGGAUUUUUCCCAGAACCAGUGGUAUUGACAUUCUUUUUUUUUUUCUUCUUCUUUAAGUGACAUCAAUUUUUUUUUAGGGAUAUACAUCCUGCUUCAUACUUUUACUUAUCCAAAAAAUAUCAUGGUUCAUACUUCUGUUUCAUUCUUUCACUUAUCAAAAAAAAAUCACGGUUCAUACUUUUUUAGCAGGUAUGAAAAGCCCUACUAUUUUUAUUUGAUUGCUUCCUUUUUUGUUCAGCCUGAUUUAGCACAAACAGGGGAUGAAGAAAUUAGUCGAGAUAUCUGUAGACUAGUAAAAUUUGAUUGCAUAUUGAAAAUCUUUCAUGUCAAACUGGUAAAGCAAAGAACAACACUAGCUUGUACCGGAACAUGGAAUCACCCUGCACUUGAGUGCUACUUUAAGGUAAUAACCUUAUCAUUCUAUGAAUUUUUAAAUUUAAUAUUUGAUAUAACUGCAAAAAUAGAAAAAAAGAAGAGUGGCUGUAAUAGAGUAUUGAAAUUUGAAUUCGGAGGAGGUAGGAAAUUUGGAGAGAGAGAGAAUGGAGGGUAGGUCUAGGUCACUUUUAUUAUUUUUUAUAGGUUCUAAAUAUAUAUUUAUAAUAAAUAUAUAUAUAUAUAUAUAUAUAUAUAUUAUAAAUAUCUACAUAUAUGUAUUUAUAUACAUCUGACUAUACUAAUUAAGAGUAGCAUAAAUUAUAAACUAUAUAAAUCAAAUUAAUAGUACAAAAAAGUCCAAUGCACAAUAGCUAUUGUUUCAAAAAUUAACAAUAUAAAGUAACAUGUUUCAAGCAUUCCAAAAAGCAACAACAUAAAGCAACAUGUUGUUUCAAGCAUUUCAAAAAGCUGACAUAAAUCAACAUGUUUCAACCAUUCCAAAAAGAAACAGCAUAAAGCAACAAGGUUGUUUCAAGCAUUCCAAAAAGUAACAAUAUAAAGCAACAAAUUAUUUUCAAGCAUUCCAAAAAGCAACAACAUAAAGUAACAGGAGAUUGCACUACAAUAUAACAAAUGUUGCUAUUUCUAUUAUGGAUUUGUUUAUGGUUGUGUAUGGCAUGUUUAACAUAUGAGCAGCGUGUUGGUUCUACACCUUGGUUUGAAAUACAAUAAUUAUUUUUCUUGGUUCAGUGUUGUGUUGAUUGUGGUUAUUGAUUAAAACUACCUAUAAUCAUUAGUUAGUAGUAUUUGUGGAUGAGGUUUCAUGUAUUUAUUUAUUUGUUUGAAUAUGGUUAUGGUGAAUGAAGAUUUUGUAAUGUAGAAUUUACUUUUAGUGUAAGGAGCACAUUGUUCCUGGGAUGGUUCAGUGAAAUUUUUGAAAUGUAGAAUUCACUGUUAAUGUAAGCUGAAGAUUGUAAGCAGGUAGAGAUUCGAUUGGAUGGAAUCGAUUCAGUGUUGAUAUUGGCAAGCAUGAAUUCACUGUUAAUGUAAGCUGAAGAUUGUAAGCAGGUAGAGAUUCGAUUGGAUGGAAUCGAUUCAGUGUUGAUAUUGGCAAGCAUGAAUUUUUUUUUGCACCAAAGGUAUUAUUACUAAAAUUAGGAUUUGUCCAUUCGUGCUUUUUACUAAAAGAUAUAUAGUCUUGAUGCAAACAUAUUAACUUUUGGGGAAUAUUUUUGUAGGUUAUUAUACUGAUUUUUAACAAGAUUUGUCAAUUGAAAAGUAUUCAGUUCUAAUGGGACAUGAGGUACUACUACUGCACUUGACUCUGCUACUUUAAGGUAAUAAUAUCUUAUCAUUCUAUGAAUUUUUAAAUUUAAUAUUUGAUAUAACUGAAAACAUAGAGAAAAAGAAGGGUGGCUGGCUGUAAAAGAGUAUUGGAAUUUGAAUUCGGAGGUUGGAGAUUUGGAGAGAGAGAGAAGGGAGAGAGUAGGUCUAGGUGUCUAGGUAGUAGAUUAUUUAUUUUUAUAGGUUCUAAAUAUAUAUUUAUAUAUUUAUAUUUAUUAUAAAUAUCUACAUAUUUAUUUAUAUACAAUAAGAGUAGUGUAAUUAAGAGUAACAUAAAUUAUAAACAAUUGAAAUCAAAUUAGUACAACAAAAAAGUUCAUCAGUGCACAGUAGUUGCUGAUCCAAAAAUCAACAACAUAAAAUAACAUGUUGUUUCAAGAAUUCCAAAAAGCACCACAAAGUAACAUGUUUCAAGCAUUCCAAAAAGUAACAACAAAGUAUUAUAGGUCUAAAUAUAUAUUUAUAAGGAGCAAGGAUCAAGAGCAUUCCCCUUAAAUAGCAUUCCUCCUUAAAUAGCACUCCUUUAUUAAAACUACGUCGUUUUGGAGUCUUUUAAAAGAGAGUGGUCUCACUUGCUUUUCUUUUAUUUACACAAAUGUCACCCACGACCCCCACUUUUUUCUUUUAAAAGACUCUAAAAUGACGUAGUUUUAAUAAAGGAGUGCUAUUUAAGGAGAAAUGCUAUUUAAGGGGAAUACUCUUGAUCCUUGCUCUAUUUAUAUGUAUUAUAUAUAUUAUAUUUAUAUACAAUAAUAUGUAUUUAUAUAUAUACAAUAAUAGAGUACUCUGACUACUAAUUAAGAGUAACAUAAAUUAUAAACAAUAAAAAUUAAAUUAAUAGUAUAAAAAAGUCCAUCAGUGCACAGUAGUUGUUGAUCCAAAAAGCAACUGCAUAAAAUAACAGUUUUUUUAAGUAUUCAAAAAAGCAACAACAUAAACCAAAAAGUUGUUUCAAGCAUUCCAAAAAAGUAACAGUAUAAAGUAACAGGUAUUCAAAAUGCAACAACAUAAAGUAACAUGUGAUUGCAAAUAAAUGUUGUUAUUUCUAUUAUGGAUUCGUUUAUGGUUGUGUAUGGAUUGUUUAACAUAUGAGCAAAAUGUGGUUAGACAUUGCUUUGAAAUACAAUAAUUAUUUUUGUUGGUUCAACAUGAAUGUAUUUUGUUGAUUGUAGUUAUUGAUUAAAACUACCUAUAAUAAUCAUUCCUUAGUAAGAAUUGUGGAUGAGGUUUUAUGUAUUUAUUUUGUUUGUCUCAAUAUGGUUGUGUUGAAUGAAAAUUUUGUAAUGUAAAAUUCACUUUUAAUGCAAGGAGCACAUUGUUCCUGGAAUGUUAAGUGAAAAUUUUGAAAUGUAUUCAUUUGAUUGGAAGUAUAUAGAGAUUUGAUUGGACGGAAUUGGUUCAUUGUUGAUAUUUGUAAAUAUUGUUCAAUUUAAAAAGUAUUUAGUUCCAAUGGGACAUGAGGUACUACUUAUCUUAUUAGUUUUUUUUACACUUAUUUGUUUAAACUGAGUAAACAGGUUUGGAAAGAACAACACCAGCUUGUACCAUAACAUGGAAGCACCGCUCCACUUGACUAUCCUACUUUAAGGUAAAAAUAUCUUAUCAUUCUAUAAAUUUUUAAAUUUAAUAUUUGAUAUUACUGCAAAAAUAGAGAAAAGAAGGGUGGAUGUAAGAGUGUUAUUGGAAGGUUGGAGAUUUGGAGAGAGAGGGAAGGUACGGUAGGUCUAAGACUAGGUUUAGGUCAUAGAUUAUUAUUUUUAUAGGUUCUAAAUAUAUAUAUAUAUUUAUAUUUAUUAUAAAUUUUUAUAUAUAUGUGUUUAUAUACAAUAAUAGAGUACUCUGACUACUAAUUAAGAGUAGCAUAAAGUAUAAACAAUAAAAAUCAAAUUAAUAAUACAAAAAAGUCCAUCAGUGCGCAGUAGCUGUUGAUCCAAAAAGAAACAACAUAAAAUAACAAUUUUUUCAAGUAUUCAAAAAAGCAACAGCAUAAAGCAGCAAGUUGUUUCAAGCAUUCUAAAAAGCAACAACAUAAAGUAACAGAUAUUUUCAAAUAUUUUAAAAAGCAACAACAUAAAGUAACAGGUAUUUUUAAGCAUUCCAAAAAUUAACUACAUAAAGUAAAAGGUGAUUGCAAACUAAUGUUGCUAUUUCUAUUAUAGAUUCGUUUAUGGGUGUAUGUAUUGUUUAACAUAUGAGCAAAGUGUGGUUGGACAUUGGUUUGGAAUACAAUAAUAAUUUUUGUCGGUUCAACAUGAUUGUGUUUUGUUGAUUGUGGUUACUGAUUAAAAAUACCUAUAAUAAUCAUUACUUGGUAAGAAUUGUGGAUGAGGUUUUAUGUUGUGUUGAAUGAAGAUUUUUGUAAUGUAAAAUUCACUUUUAAUGUAAGGAGCACGUUGUUUUUGGGAUGGUUAAGUGAAAUUUUUGAAAUGUAGAAUUCACUGUUAAUAUAAGCUGGAAGAUUGGAAGUAUAUAAAGAUUCGAUUGGACGGAAUCGGUUCACUGUUGAUAAAAGCUUUUUGCACCAAAGGUAUUAUUACUAAAAGUAGAAUUUGUCUUUUUGUGCUUUUGACUGAAUGAUGAUAUAUAGUAUUGAAUGUAUUAACUUUUUGGGAAUUUUUUUUGUAGGUUAUUAUACUGAUUUUUGCAAGAUUGCUCAAUUUAAAAAGUAUUCAGUUCCAAUGGGACAUGAGGUACUACUUAUCUUAUUAGUUUUUUUUAUAUACUUAUGUGUUCAAACUGAGUAAACAGGUUUGGAAAAAACAACACCAACUUGUACCGGAACAUGAAAGCACUGCUCCACUUGACUCUCCUACUUUAAGGUAAAAAUAUCUUAUCAUUCUAUGAAUUUUUAAAUUUAAUAUUUGAUAUAAUUGCAAAAAUAAAAAGAGAAGGGUGGAUGUAAGAGAGUUAUUGGAUUUUGAAUUUGGAGGUUGGAGAUUUAGAGGGAGAUGGAAGGGAUGGUAGGUCUCUAGGUCUAGGUCAUAGAUUAUUAUUUUUAUAGGUUAUAAAUAUAAAUUUGUAAGUAUUAUAUAAAUUUAUAUUUAUUAUAGAUAUCUCUCUCUCUCUCUCUCUAUAUAUAUAUAUAUAUAUAUUUAUAUACAAUAAUAGAGUACUCUCACUACUAAUUAAGAGUAGCGUAAAUUAUAAAAAAUAAAAAUCAAAUUAAUACUACAAAAAAGUCCAUCAGGGCACAAUAGUUGUUAAUCCAAAAAGCAACAACAUAAAAUAACAGUUUUUUCAAGUAUUCAAAAAAGCAACAGCAUAAUAAAGCAACAAGUUGUUUCAAGCAUUUCAAAAAGCAACAGCAUAAAGUAACAUGUAUUCAAAAUGCAACAUCAUAAAGUAACAAGUAUUUUCAAGCAUUCUAAAAAUCAACUAUAUAAAGUAACAUGUGAUUGCAAACAAAUGUUGCUAUUUUUAUUAUGGAUUCGUUUAUGUUUAUGGUUGUGUAUGGGUUGUUUAACAUAUGUGCAAAGUGUGGUUAGGCAUUGGUUUGAAAUACAAUAAUUAUUUGUUGGUUCAGCAUGAUUGUGUUGUGUUGAUUAUGGUUACUGAUUAAAAUUACCUAUAAUAAUCAUUGCUUAGUAAGAAUUGUGGAUGAGGUUUUAUGUAUUUAUUUUGUUUGUCUCAAUAUGGUUGUGUUGAAUGAAGAUUUUGUAAUGUAAAAUUCACUUUUAAUGUAAGGAGUACAUUGUUCCUGGGAUGGUUAAGUAAAAUUUUUGAAAUGUAGAAUUCACUUUUAAUGUAAGCUGAAGAUUGGAUGGAAGUAUAUAGAGAUUCGAUUGGACGGAAUCGGUUCAUUGUUGAUAUUUGCAAGCAUGAAAAGCUUUUUGUACCAAAGGUAUUAUUACUAAAUGUAGAAUUUGUCCUUUUGAUUGAAUGAUAUAUAGUAUUGAUGCAAAUAUAUUUACUUUUUUUGGGAAUUUUUUGUAGGUUAGUAUACUGAUUUUUGCAAGAUUGCUCAAUUUAAAAAGUAUUUAGUUCUAAUGGGAUAUGAGGUCGUUAUUACUUAUCUUAUUAGUUUUUUUACACUUAUGUGUUUAAACUGAAUAAACAGGUUUGGAAAGAACAACAGCAGCUUGUACUGCUACAUGGAAGUAGCGCUCCGCUUGACUUUCUUACUUUAAGGUAAAAAUAUCUCAUCAUUCUAUAAAUUUUUAAAUUUAAUAUUUGUUAUAGCUGCAAAAAUAGAGAAAAAAAAGGGUGGAUGUAAGAGAGAGAUUGGAUUUUGAAUUUGAAGGUUGAAGAUUUGGAGAGAGAGGGAAGGGAGGGUAGGUCUCUAGGUCUAGGUCAUAUAGAUUAUUAUUUUUAUAGGUUCUAAAUAUAUAUUUAACAAGUAUUAUAUAUAUUUAUAUUUAUUAUAAAUAUCUAUAUAUAUGUGUGUGUGUGUGUGUGUGUGUGUGUGUAUUUAUAUGCAAUAAUAGAGCACUCUGACUACUAAUUAAGAGCAACAUAAAUUAUAAACAAUAAAAAUCAAAUUAAUAGUACAAAAAGGUCCAUUAGUGCACAAUAGCUGUUGAUCCAAAAAGCAACAACAUAAAAUAACAGUUUUUUCAAGUAUUCAAAAAAGCAACAACAUAUAGUAGCAAGUUGUUUCAAGCAUUUCAAAAAGUAACGGCAUAAAAUAACAUGUAUUUUCAAAUAUUUCAUAAAGCAAUAGCAUAAAGUAACAGGUAUUUUCAAGCAUUCCAAAAAUUAAUCAACUACAUAAAGUAACAGGUGAUUACAAACAAAUGUUGCUAUUUCUAUUAUAGAUUCGUUUAUGGUUGUGUAUGGGUUGUUUAACAUAUGUGCAAAGUGUGGUUAGACAUUGGUUUGAAAUCAAAUAAUUAGUUUUGUUGGUUCAGCAUGAUUGUGUUUUGUUGAUUGUGGUUAUUGAUUAAAACUACCUAUAAUAAUCAUUACAUAAUAAGAAUUGUGGAUGAGGUUUUAUGUAUUUAAUUUGUUUGUCUCAAUAUGUUUGUGUUGAAUGAAAAUUUUGUAAUGUAAAAUUCACUUUUAAUGUGAGGAGCACAUUGUUCCUGGGAUGGUUAAGUGAAAAUUUAGAAAUGUAGAAUUCACUGUUAAUGUAAGAUGAAUAUUAGAAGUAUAUCGAUUCAAUUGGACGGAAUCGGUUCAUUGUUGAUAAUGCAAACAUGAAAAGCUUUUUCCACUAAAGGUAUUAUUACUAAAUGUAGAAUUUUUCCUUUUGUGCUUUUGACUGAAUGAUAUAUAGUAUUGAUGCAAAUGUAUUAACUUUUUGGGAAUUUUUUUUGUAGGUUAUUUUAAACUGAGUAAACAGGGUUGGAAAGAAAAUCACUAGUGGAACAUGGAAGCAAUGCUCUACUUGACUCACCUACUUUAAGGUAAAAAAUAUCUUAUCAUUCUAUGAAUUUUUAAAUUUAAUAUUUUAUAUAACUGCAGAGAAAAAGAAGGGUGGAUAUUGGUUUUUGAAUUGAAUUUUGAAUUUGGAGGUUGGAGAUUUAUAGAGAGAGGGAAGUGAGGGUAGGUCUAGAACUAGGUCUAGGUCACAGAUUAUAUUUUUUAUAGGUUCUAAAUAUAUAUAUUAUAUAUAUUUAUAUUUAUUAUAAAUAUUUAUAUAUAUGUAUUUAUCUACAAUAAUAGAGUACUAUGACUAUUAAUUAAGAGUAGCAUAAAGUAUAAACAAUAAAAAUCAAAAUAAUAGUACAAAGAAGUCUAUCAUUGCGUAAUAGUUUUUGAUCCAAAAGGCAACAGCAUAAAAUAACAGUUUUUUCAAGUAUUCAAAAAAUUAGCAACAACGUUAACAUAAAGCAGCAAGUUGUUUCAAGCAUUCUAAAAAGCAACAACAUAAACUAACAGGUAUUUUCAAAUAUUUCAAAAAGCAACAGCAUAAAGUAACAGGUAUUUUCAAGCAUUCCAAAAAUUAAUCAACUACAUAAAGUAACAGGUGAUUACAAACAAAUGUUGCUAUUUCUAUUAUAGAUUCGUUUAUGGUUGUGUAUGGGUUGUUUAACAUAUGUGCAAAGUGUGGUUAGACAUUGGUUUGAAAUCAAAUAAUUAGUUUUGUUGGUUCAGCAUGAUUGUGUUUUGUUGAUUGUGGUUAUUGAUUAAAACUACCUAUAAUAAUCAUUACAUAAUAAGAAUUGUGGAUGAGGUUUUAUGUAUUUAAUUUGUUUGUCUCAAUAUGUUUGUGUUGAAUGAAAAUUUUGUAAUGUAAAAUUCACUUUUAGUGUGAGGAGCACAUUGUUCCUAAGAUGGUUAAGUGAAAAUUUAGAAAUGUAGAAUUCACUGUUAAUGUAAGAUGAAGAUUAGAAGUAUACAGAUUCAAUUGGACGGAAUCGGUUCAUUGUUGGCAAACAUGAAAAGCUAUUUCAACCAAAGGUAUUAUUACUAAAUGUAGAAUUUUUCCUUUUGUGCUUUUUGACUGAAUGAUAUAUAGUAUUGAUUGGUAUUAUAACUUUUUGGGAAUUUUUUUUGUAGGUUAUUUAAACUGAGUAAACAGUUUUGGAAAGAAAACCACUAGUUUGUACUGGAACAUGGAAGCAAUGCUCCACUUGAUUCUCCUUACUUUAAGGUAAAAAUAUCUUAUCAUUCUAUGAAUUUUUAAAUUUAUUUAAUAUUUUAUUUAUAUAACUGCAAAGAAAAAGAAGAGUGAAUAUAAGAGAGUUAUUGGAUUUUGAAUUUAGAGGUUAGAGAUUUAUAUAGGGAAGGGAGGGUAUCUCUAAGUCUAGGUUAUAUAGAUUAUUAUAUUUAUAGGUUCUAAAUAUAUAUUUAUAUUUAUUAUAAAUAUAUAUAUAUAUAUAUAUGUAUUUAUUUAUAUAUAAUAAUAGAGUACUCUGACUACUAAUUAAGAGUAACGUAAAUUAUAAAUAAUAAAAAUCAAAUUAAUACUACAAAAAGGUCUAUCAGUGCACAAUAGUUGUUAAUCCAAAAAGCCAGCACAAAAUAACAAUUUUUUCAAGUAUUCAAAAAAGCAACAACAUAAAGCAAUAAGUUAUUUCAAGUAUUCCAAAAAGAAACAGUAUAAAGUAACAAGUAUUCAAAAUACAACAACAUAAAGUAACAGGUAUUUUCAAGCAUUCUAAAAAUCAAUUACAUAACGUAACAUGUGAUUGCAAACAAGUGUUGCUAUUUCUAUUUGUGUAUGGGUUGUUUAACAUAUAUGCAAAGUGUGGUUAGGCAUUGAUUGUGCUGUGUUGAUUGUGGUUACUGAUUAAAACUACAUUUAAUAAUCAUUACUUGGUAAGAAUUGUGGAUGAAGUUUAAUGUAUUUAUUUUGUUUCUCUCAAUAUGGUUGUGUUGAAUGAAGAUUUUGUAAUGUAAAAUUCACUUUUAAUAUAAGGAGCACAUUUGUUCCUCAGAUGGUUAAGUGAAAUUUUUGAAAUGUAGAAUUCAUUGUUAAUGUAAGUUGAAGAUUUGACGUAUAUAGAGAUUCGAUUGGACGUAAUCGGUUCAUUGUUGAUAUUUGCAAGCAUGAAAAGCUAAAUUGCACCAAAGGUAUUAUUAUUAAAAGUAGAAUUUGUCCUUUUGUGCUCUUGACUGAAUGAUAUAUAGUAUUGAUGCAAAUGUAUUAACUUUUUGGGAAAAAAAUUUAGGUUAUUAUACAGAUUUUUGCAAAAUUGCUCAAUUUAAAAAGUAUUCAGCUCUAAUGGGACAUGAGGUACUAUUUCUCUUUCUUUUUUUUACACUGAGAAGUUUAAAGGUUUGGAAAGAACAACACCAGCUUGUACCGGAACAUGGAACCACCGUUCCACUUGACUCUUCUACUUUAAGGUAAAAAUAUCUUAUCAUUCUAUAAAUUUUUAAAUUUAAUAUUUGAUAUAAAUGCAAAAAUAGAGAAAAAGAAGGGUAGAUGUAAGAGAGUUAUUGGAUUUUAAAUUUGGAGGUUGGAGAUUUGGAGAGAGAUGGAAGGGAGGGUAGGUCUAGGACUAGGUCUAGCUCAUAGAUUAUUAUUUUUAUAGGUUCUAAAUAUAUAUUUAUAUUUAUAUUUAUUAUAAAUAUCUAUAUUUAUGUAUUUAUAUAUAAUAAUAGAGUACUCUGACUAUUAAUUAAGUGUAGCAUAAAUAUAAACAAUUAAAAUCAAAUUAAUAGUAUAAAAAAAUCCAUUAGUGCGCAGAAGUUGUUGAUCCAAAAAGCAAUAGCAUAAAAUAACAGUUUUUUCAAGUAUUCAAAAAUGGAACAUCAUAAAACAACAAGUUGUUUCAAGCAUUCUAAAAAGCAACAGCAUAAAAUAACAUGUAUUUUUCAUUAUUUCAAAAAACAACAUAAUAAAGUAACAGGUAUUGUCAAGCAUUCCAAAAAUCAACUAUAUAAAGUAACAUAUGAUUGCAAACAAAUGUUGCUAUUUCUAUUAUGGAUUCAUUUAUGGUUGUGUAUGGGUUGUUUAACAUAUGAGCAAAGUAUGGUUAGACAUUGGUUUGAAAUACAAUAAUUAUUUUUGUUGGUUCAGCAUGAUUGUGUUGUAUUAUUACUAAAAGUAGAAUUUGUCCUUUUAUGCUUUUGACCGAAUGAUAUAUAGUAUUGGUGCAAAUGUAUUAACUUUUUGGGAAUUUUUUUUGUAGGUUAUUUUACUGAUUUUUGCAAGAUUGCUUAAUUUAAAAAGUAUUCAGUUCAAAUGGGACAUGAGGUACUUCUUAUCUUUUUAGUUUUUUUAUACUUGUGUGUUUAAACUAAGUAAACAGGUUUGGAAAGAACAACACCAACUUGUACCGGAACAAGGAAACACUGCUCCACUUGACUCUACUACUUUAAGGUAAAAAUAUCUUAUCAUUCUAUGAAUUUCUAAAUUUAAUAUUUGAUAUAACUGCAAAAAUAGAGAAAAAGAAGGAUGGAUGUAAGAGAGUUAUUGGAUUUUGAAUGCACAGUAGUUGUUAAUCCAAAAAGCAACAGCAUAAAAUAACAAUUUUUUCAAGUAUUCAAAAAAGCAACAACAUAAAGUAACAAGUUGUUUCAAGCAUUUCCAAAAAGCAACAGUAUAAACUAACAGGUAUUCAAAAUGCAACAACAUAAAGUAAUAGAUAUUUUCAAGUAUUCCAAAAAUCAACUACAUAAAGUAAUAUGUGAUUGCAAACAAAUGUUGCUAUUUCUAUUAUGGAUUCGUUUAUGGUUAUGUAAUAUGUGCAAAGUGUGGUUAAGCACUGGUUUGAAACGCAAUAAUUAUUUGUUGGUUCAGAAUGAUUGUGUUGUGUUGAUUGUGGUUACUGAUUAAAACUACAUUUAAUAAUCAUUACUUGGUAAGAAUUGUGGAUGAGGUUUUAUGUAUUUAUUUUGUUUGUCUCAAUAUGGUUGUGUUGAAUGAAGAUUUUGUAAUGUAAAAUUCACUUUUAAUGUAAGGAGCACAUUAUUCCUGGGAUGGUUAAGUGAAAAUUUUAAAAUGUAGAAUCCAUUGUUAAUGUAAGCUGAAGAUUGGAAGUAUAUAGAUAUUUGAUUGGACAGAAUUGGUUCAUUGUUGAUAUUUGUAAGUAUGAAAAGCUUUUUGCACCGAAGGUAUUAUUACUAAAAGUAGAAUUUGUCCUUUUGUACUUUUGACUAAAUGAUAUAUAGAAUUGAUGAAAAUGUCUUAAUUUUUUGGAAAUUAUUUUGUAGGUUAUUAGUAGAUUUUUGUAAGAUUGCUCAUUUUAAAAAAUAUUCAGUUCCAAUGGGACAUGAGGU
rnacentral:lncRNA from 1 species